rnacentral:lncRNA from 1 species
UGACCACAUGUGGCCCUGCCGACAAGCCAGACGGGUCCACCAUCGAUUGUUGCCCACCCAUCACGACCACCAUCAUCGACUUCAAACUCCCCGACCGAGGCCCACUCCGCACAAGGAUCGCUGCCCAGGACGUUGCAAAAAACCCUGCAUACUUGGCUAAAUACAAAAAGGCCAUCGAGCUGAUGCGGGCACUUCCAGAUGACGACCCGCGCAGUCUCGUCCAACAGGCCAAAGUCCAUUGCUCCUACUGCGACGGUGGAUACCCACAAGUCGGAUAUUCAGAUUUGGAGAUCCAAGUUCACUUCUGUUGGCUAUUCUUCCCGUUCCAUCGUUGGUACCUCUACUUCUACGAGAAAAUCAUGGGCGAGCUCAUUGGGGACCCAACCUUCGCCCUCCCCUUCUGGAACUGGGACGCGCCAGCUGGCAUGUACAUUCCUGAGAUUUUCACCGAUACGUCGUCAUCCCUCUACGACCAGAACAGAAAUACAGCGCAUCAGCCCCCGAAGCUCCUGGACUUGAAUUAUGGCGGGACCGACGAUGACGUCGACGACGCGACACGAAUCAAAGAGAACCUAACAACGAUGUACCAGCAGAUGGUGUCGAAGGCCACUUCUCACAGACUAUUCUACGGAGAGCCCUAUAGCGCAGGGGACGAACCAGAUCCUGGCGCCGGAAACAUUGAGACCACUCCCCAUAACAAUAUUCACCUUUGGGUUGGCGACCCAACCCAGACAAACGGGGAGGACAUGGGGACCUUUUACUCUGCGGGGAGGGAUCCGCUGUUUUACUCUCACCAUUCCAACGUGGACCGCAUGUGGUCUAUAUAUAAAGAUAAGUUGGGAGGUACGGACAUAGAAAAUACCGACUGGCUGGACGCAGAGUUCUUAUUCUACGACGAGAAAAAGAAUCUCGUGCGCGUCAAGGUUCGGGACUCGCUCGACACUAAAAAACUCGGGUACGUGUACGACGAGAAAGUCCCAAUCCCAUGGCUGAAGUCGAAGCCGACGGCUCGUAAGUCGACGAAUAAGAGAAAGGCCACAGUUUCAUCUUCUGAUCUUACUACAACGUUCCCUGCUACAUUGUCGGAUACAAUCAGCGUCGAGGUGACAAGGCCGUCUGCGACGAAGCGGACAGCUGCCCAGAAGAAGGCACAUGACGAGGUGCUGGUGAUUAAGGGGAUUGAGUUUGCCGGGAAUGAGCCUGUGAAGUUCGACGUGUAUGUGAACGAUGACGCGGAAUCGCUGGCUGGGAAAGACAAGUCGGAGUUUGCUGGGAGUUUUGUUCACGUGCCGCAUAAGCAUAAGAAAAAUAUUAAGACGAACCUGCGACUGAGCAUUAUGAGCUUGUUGGAGGAGUUGGAUGCGGAGACAGACAGCAGUUUGGUGGUGACUUUGGUGCCGAAAGUUGGGAAGGGGCCAAUCACCAUCGGAGGGUUUAGCAUUGAGCUCAUUAAUACUACCUAAGUAUUAUUUAAUGUUAUUGUUGUUCUUCUUGUUGUUGUUGGGUUGGCUUAAUCGUGUUUUUCUAGCCAAGUAAUCUUGACUGUAAUGUGCUCAUCUACUGCUUAUGUGGCAGAUAACGGUUGGUGUUCCUCGUGAAUAAAAGCACUAUUGUGUUUCGGUGUGUUUAUUUAUUGAAUAAAGAAUUGAUGGUAGAGUUUAAUCAUAAUUUUCCAGAAUUAUUGAUGAUUGAGUUCUCAAAAAAUUAAGAGUAUGUUUGGUAUCUUAUUCAAAAAAAAAAUUUAUCAUUGUACAAAACACUUCUUAAAAACAUGUCCUAAGAACAAUUUUUGUUUAAAAGUCAAAAACUUUUUUGGUAUGAAAUUCGUAAUUGUUUUUAAAGAAAAAAAAAACUCAUCCUAUAAUGUGAACUUGUAAAUUCAAAGAGAGAAAAAAGAAGGAGGGUAGAGAGAAAAAUGGGAGAAGGAAAGAAAGGGAAGAGAAUGAAAUAGGAAACAUCCUAACCCCAUUUUUAUUUAAAAAUUGUUUUAAAGCCUUAAAUGGUGAGCCGGUGGGGCCCACCUUGUUUUACUUUUUUUGUGUUUUCCGGUCUCCCUCUCUCCUCUCUCAGUUCUCUCUCCUGUGUCUCUCUCUCGGACCUCAUCUCUCUCCCUUGCUGCAACUCCUUUUCCCUGAGCAACACACAGCCACGCCAUCUGCUGAGGACAUCACCAUCACAACCUCUGCAAUUUCCUUUCGGCGAGCACCGCCCCUUUCGAGGCCAUUUCCGGACAAACUACAGUGAGUUGGCCAGCGUGUAAGGUAUCAAUCUCUUCAUCUCGCUGAGAACUACAACUUUCCUUUUUGUUUCACUCAAUUUCGUUGAGUAUUGAAGAAGUUAUACUCAUUUGAAUCUUACCCAGUUUCCGGCGACCUCCGAGGCUUUCGAGGCAUUUUCCGGCUAAACCAUGGUGAGUUAGACGUCGUGUGAGGUACCAUUCUCUUCGUCUCUUCAAGGGCUACAACUUUCAUUUUUGAAUCACUUAAUUUUGUGGAGUUUUGACAAAGUUAUGGCCAUUUAAAAUGGGUGUGGAUUUCCGGCCGAAUUUCCGGCUUUCUCUCCCAUUGGGUCCGGCGACCCACCAAACCCAAGGCCUUUGGCCCUUCCCUGCCAAGCCCAACCCUUUUGGUUGUGAGGCCUUUGGGCUGUUAGUGCGUGUGUGUGUGUUUGUGUAGUAUGUGGGAGUGUGUGUGUGAGUGUGUGUUGUGUGUGGAUUUGGGCUUAAGCCCAAACCACCCCUUUUGUACUUAACCUAUCCAAAACCAAAACCCAAUAGGUCAUAACCCUUUUUAACCUAAGCCUAGACCCUAAUCCAGAUUCAAGCCUAAAACCCAUUUGACCUAGUUUGACCGUUGACCCCCGGUCAAUGUUGACAUUUCGGGUUUUUGUCCAGGACCCUUCUUAGGGUAAUUCGAUGUUCUGAAUCCGUUUCCAAUGUCUGUUUUUCCAAAUUCAAUUGCUAUUAUAUAGUUUGAUUUAUUGUACAUUUUUGUAUUUAGGGGCAAUUAUUAUGACUUUUCCAUCUUCGCUUGUGGCGCAGCUUUUGGCAUCUAAGUAUUGUGAGUGGACCCCUUCUAAAAUUUCAUGAUUUUAUAGUUUAAUUGCAUAAAUGAUUAGCAUGCCUACGAGUUUAUGAUUUGAUUUAUGUGAAGUUUGUUUAUUAAAUAUAUUGAUUUUCGUCUCGUGUUUUUUGUGAGGAAUCAAUUGUUGGCCCAUAUUGAGCUAUAUUUUGAUAUAUCGUGUUUUUAUAAAAACCAUGAACUGGUAGACUAUCUGAUGGAUGACGAUAGGAUGCUAGAACAUAUUUUCAAAACCCCUAUUUAUAGUAUAGACGAUGGCUGACUUUAUACUAUGAAGUGGUUAUUUUUUAGAGGCAUAACUAUUUGUGCGUACCUAGUGGACACUAUGCCGCAUGGGGCGAGGAUCUGGUGUUGGCAGUUAGGCCAGGAGAAAUAAUCCCUAGCUACGGGCUAAGGGACAUGGAGCAGGCAUUGGGCCGGGAGUUGGUAAUCUCUGGCUACGGGAGCAGAGACCACGGAGCAGGCAUUGGGCCGGGAGUUAUAUUUGUUCAGUGAUCUUUCUAGCAGUACACCGCGCUUACGAGACGAUCUAUGAAACGUUUACUGUUUUGAUUUCCGCGAUAUGACUUUUGAGAUAUUUUUGGCAUGCUAAGAUUUUUAUUAAAUCCUUCACUUACUAUGCUAGUAGUUUUCACUAUUAAACUUUGGGGAUUAGUAUGUUGAUAACUGUUUUAUUAUUAUUGUAUAUAUGAACUUGGUCCCCUCACCUUUGUUUUGCGUCCCCAUUCAGGACUUAGGAUCAAGGCACCUAAUCCCGACGUCAAGACACUUCCGCAGCAGCAUCUUUGAAUCCUCUCGAUGUAUGACCCAUUUCUUUAUUCAUUCAAUUUUAUCUUAAUUCUUUUUAGUGAUUAGGUUUAGUUGUAUGCUCUGAACACGUUCCUAAAUUAUUAAUUCAUUGUAUUUUAAAUUCAUAACCCUUAUUUAUUUCUUAUUCUUAGCUUUUGUAUCAAUUAAUGGCUUUCGUCACCCUUGGGUGUCGGCCAUCACGUAUCUAUCCUGGUAUUUGGGGAAUAUCAGGGUCGGGGCAUGUCAGAAAGGAGAGUGGAUCAGAAGAGAGAGAGAGAGAGAGAGAAAUAUGAGAUGAUCGAAGGAGUAAGAAAAUUGGAGGAGUGAGAGCAAUGAUAGAGAUAAAAGAUAAGGGAUUAGGUGCGAGAGAAAAGGGAAGAGAGAAAUAGUGAUCUUUAAAAUUAAAAACUCUAAAAACACACUUUUGGUGUUUUUAUGACAUAGGCUAAUUCUUAAGUUAGUUUUGAGUCUAGUUUUUGAAAAGGUUCAUGUCAAACAAGUUUUUAACACUUAAAACUUGAAAACUGAUUUUGAGUUUAAAAAGUUGGAUUCAAAUUGAAUACCAAACAUGCCCCAACGAAUUCUAAUUGUGUAAAAUUGUUUAUAAAACUAGUACACUACGUUGCUAUUAUUGUUGACUAGCAGAGAGCACACAUUUUGUGAAUGUGAACAAUUUCUCUUAAUAAGUGUAUAUUUUAUUAAUAUUACAUAAUUACUGAUUUGUCCUCUUUAUGUAAAUAUUAUGUAUCAAAAGAGAGGGUAAAAUUGAAAAAAUAAGUAUAAAAAGAGGGUAAAAUAGGAAAAAUAGGGAUAUGGUUGUCAUUUUGUCAAAGGGUACAAAAUUACUAUUGUAUUAGCUAGUGACCACCAAGAUUAUGAGAGUGGAUCCCAAGGAUCUUCCAAUCACAUCCAUUCAUCUUGCAUCGUGGGAUCAAUUUUCGUCAGGUACUGUUCAUAUUCAAUUUUAAAUAAAAAAAUUUACAAUAAUUUCUGACCGCACAAUAUAUGAUGAACGAAUAUGAUUUGAGAAUUUUCAAGAUCUUUACAAAGAGAAUCCGACAAGGAUCCUUUCUCUUUUUUUCCCCCCAAAAUUCAUUCCAACCCAUGACCUAAAAUUAACCUAAAACCUAAAACUGAUAUGCGGGUCAAAUACCGGCCCAAUUUUAGACCACAAAACAAAAUGGGCCCCACCAACUGAGAUUGAAACCGGGGCUAUGAAACCCACUGCCCAAAUCGAACUCGCCUACGCGCUGAACGCGCUAGGCAUUUGUUGUGGGGUGACAAACCCACGUGGGGUUGUUCCUCCGGGUGUCAGACCAAUAAGUAGCCCAACGACUACUUUUCUUCAUCCAAUAGCCCAAUUUAAAUGGGUCGUUGGUUAAUCCAAUGGUCCAGGUUCAAAUUAUUUUUUUUUAGUUUUAUAUUGAUAUAUUUGUUGAAUCCAACGACUUAGAUCGAAUAUAAUCAAAUCUAACAGUAAAAAAAAGAUCUAAUGGUCCAAAUUUAAAUCCAAUGGCUAAAAUAAUUUAAAAAAAAUUAUUUAACUUAAAAUUCAACCAAAAACUUUAUAAAUACUUAUGUAUUUGUUUAAACAUCCACACAAAACUCACUUUUCUCCUACAAUUCUUCCAAUUUUUCUUUCUACCAUUUCUUCUCAUUUCCAAAUUUUUCAAGAUGGCAAAAGAGUAUGUUAGAGGUCAUAAUUGGACCUUUGACGAAGAUAUUGCUUUAUGUUUGGCAUGAAUUUCUGUUAGCGAAAAUGGUGUCGUCGGCACAAAUCAAAAUAGAAACGUUUUGUGGGGUAAAAACGUUGAUAAGUUCCAUGAAAACUCCAAUGCCGGUCGAAGGGAAGUUGGUGGUGUUUAUGAUUGGUGGAAGAUUAUCAACAAAGCAUGCACUUUGUGGAAGGGAAGCUUGGAGAGAGCCACGGUUGACAUGCCUAGUGGAAUGGGUGCCUCAGAAAUUGUGAGUUUCUUUGUUGAUAUUUUAGUUGUCAUGUACAUAAUAGUAUUUAGCAACUAAUUGUUUUUAUGUAUUUGUUGCAUAGGGUGACAAAGCAAUGGCAAUUUACAAGAAGAACUACACCAAAAAAUCAAGCUUUUAAGUUGCAUCAUGCUUGGAACAUCCUUAAGGAUUGUCCGAGGUGGCGAACCGAUGCGAACCAACAAUGUGGAAGAUUAUUUCAUAGUGAAGCCCCACCCCCAAAUGAUGUCAAUGAAGGUGUGAAUUUUGCCAACAAUGAAGGUGUCGAACAAAUGACCCUAACUUCUUCUUUUGUAAGGCCACCGGGUAGAGAUAAGCAAAAAGAAGCAAAGAGAAAAGGGAAGUCCCAAGAUGCAAUAUGUGCACAAUUUGCUAGCGAAAUUGCAAGAAUGAACAAAAAUUAUAUCUCUCGGCAAGAAGAAUCAGCCCAAAUGUGUUUGGCCAUGAAGGAAGAAGGGGAUAGGGAGCAAGAAAGGUUCGAAAUUAAUUUGAUGAUGGAGGACCUCGACAAACACACUCCAGAGAGGAAGAAAUACUUACAUGGUAAGCAAAAGGACAUUUUAUGAAGGAAUGACACAAGGAGUAUAUUUCAAGAUGAUGAUUUCAUCUCAAGACUAUCACCCAAGUCCAUCACCAAGUCAAAAUGGUGGAUAUCAUUAUUAAGUAUAUGUAGUUUAUGAGUUUUCGAUUGUGUUAAGUUUAUGUGGUUUAUUAAUUGUUUUUUUUUUUGAAGUUUAUGUGGUUUAUUAAUGGUCGUUUGUAUUAAGUUUAUGUGGUUCAUCAUGAUUUUCAUGUAUUGAUUUAGUGAUUUUUCAAAAUUUAUUGGAAUUUAAAUAUUUUUAGGUUAAAAUGUUCAUAAAAUUAAUUUAGGAUGGUCUACAUAAUUUUUUUUAAAAUAGUUAAUUUAAAAAAAAAUUAGCCUGAAUUCAUUCUUUGAUAAUCUCGGGCUAAAAUUUUAGGCCAAAAUGGUUGGAGCAGAAAAGCUGUUUUUUGGCUAAAACCUAAAUUUUCUAGGCUAAAUAUUUUUAGGUUUUAGGUCAGGGUUAGAGAUGAUCUUAGCUUCUAUGUUGUUGGCGUCUAGUGUAGAAUAAUUAAAAAUGUGAAUCUAAAAAAAACUUUUUUUCGAAGUCUUAACCUCAAUCUUCUAUUCUUAAAAGUUUAAGAUCACUAUAAUUAGUCUAGAAAAAUUCUAAGGAGAUUCUCUUAAAAGUAGAACUCUUUAUGUCUGUCACUUUAUGUUUUUUGCACAGUGUUUUAAAGUGUUCUUACAAGAAUUGACGUUAAACAAUAAGCAAAGUCGCGAAGAGUCCUACUUUUAAAAAAGUCACUUAGCAUUUCUCUCUGUCACUUUAUGUUUUUUGCACAGUGUUUUAAAAUGUUCUUACAAGAAUUGAUGUUAAACAAUAAGCAAAAUCGCUGAAAGUCCCACUUUUAAAAAAAUCACUUAGAAUUUCCCUUUAUACAAACAUGACUACAUGAGUUAAUUAAUAAUUAAUUUAAUUUCAUGUUUUUCUUAACUAAUAAUUAUUUAACCCAAACAUAUGAUUCUAGGGAGUUUUAACAAAACACUCCCAGUACUGUUCAUUUUUAAUGAAAAACCACAUUUUUACCUUUAACUGGCACUAUUCACUAUACCUUUAAAAAUGACUUUUCGUUAAAAGAGAAGUUUUUUGGAUUUUUCGUUAGUUUUCCUAUGAUUCUAUCCCUUGAAAAAAAAAUCAUAUUUUAUUUGAUGAAUGAGCAAAUGUAUAGUCAAUAGUGUGUUCUGAUGUGACCAGUACGUUAUAUUCAUACAAUAUGCAAUAUAUAGUCAACAUUGAAUAGCUAUAUCGCUUGUCCUUGCUUGGUAAAUCAAGGAUAAAUGAUCGAAACCAGAUCCCCUCUAGAGCAUGAGGACCGGAGCCUGCUGAGCAACCCAUCCGGAUUCUUGAAAUUUGAUCUAAUAGUUACAACUUGCAAUUAUUAUAAUUUUUAGAGGAACCCUCUACUUGUAGCUGUUGAAUCAAAUUUCAAAGACCCGAAUCCGAAUAGGUUGCUCAGCAUGCUCCGGUCCCCAUGCUCAGGAGGGGGUCCGGUUCCUAAAUGAUCAUAGGUUUUUUCAGCUUAUACCUAUAAACCGUGUCUGAUAAUUACAUAAAGCUACGAAGGGCAUUUGUGGAGAAAUUUUUAAUUGUAACAAGAACACAAGUGGUACACCACGUAUUUUAAUUGAAGUCUUUGUUAGACGAAGUCAACCGUUGGUGGUAACCAACACUUCUUGAAGAGUCGUGCUGUGCUUAGGAGUCUUAUCUCCUUGUUUAUAGGACUUCCUUUUUAAAUUAUUCUUCUAACUGAAACUGGUUGUUAUCUUUGUAGAUUUAGCCCCAGUUUGGGGUUGAGGUGAUUUUAAAAAAAGCUCCUAUGAAAAAAAGCUGGGAGUGUUUUUGGUGUUUGGUAAACUUAAAAAAAAGGGCUUAUUUUGGAAGCUGCUGUGAGAAUAAGCUGAAAUCAAAGGAAAAAGCUGAAGCUGCAAUUUGUAGCUUUGGAAAACUGGUUUUUUUCAAAGCACAUAUAACUACAGUGCUCCUUUAAUGAAAAGCUCCACUAUCAGACUGUUUUUUUUUUCCAAAAGCACUUUUACAAAAAAGCUUACCAAACACUCUGCUGAUUUAUUUCACAGCCGCUUAUUCUCACAGCACAGCCGCUUAUUCUCACAGCAGCUUUUUUUCAAAGCACAGCAAUACCAAACCAGUAUCUUUUGAAUUUUGAACUUUUGUGUAAGUAGGGUUAAUUCAAACCCUGAUCGUAAUCUGUAAGUGGUUAUAAGUACAUGCAUCCCACACAUUCAAGGAUAUGCAAUUGAAGUGAAAUCUCUGUGUUAUUAAGUUUUACAUGGUAUUGAGCCUUACUGUCUAACGACAACGAUCCAUAUUUGUUUUUCCUCGCUUCCAAUGGCUGAAAACAAUGGUGCUUCUUCUCAACCAUUCAAUCCCGUUUCCCCAAACAAUCCCACCUAUCCCUUUUCCUCCAUGACGUGGUAAACAUUAAGCUAGACAAGACCAACUACCCACUGUGGUUGGCCCAAAUCUUUCUUAUUCUCAAGAGUCGAGAUUUAAUGGGGUAUGUUGAUGGCACUCUGGUGUGUCCCUCGAAGCACAUGCCUGGUGUGGCAACUGUUAAUCCUGCCUAUACCUUCUGGAUGCAGCAGGAUUAAAUGAUCAUAAGUUGGAUCAAUGGCUCACUUACUGCAUCAGUUUUGUCUGUUGUGGCUAGCAAGCGAAGUGCUAGAGCAACCUGGGAAGCGCUCGAGCAGCGGUAUGCUUCUUUUUCACAAAAUAGGAUUUUAUUUUUGAGGAAUGAAUUGUUGCAGACAAAGAAUAGUGAUCUUUUGGUAGCCGACUAUUUGGAUCGCAUGAAUGUGAUUGUUGACAACCUUGCCCUAGCUGGGCAACCUGUGAGUGACGAUGAAUUAGUACAGAUUGUGUUGAACAAUCUUGGACCAGCUUUCGAGAUGACAGUCAGUGUUGCUCAAGCUUAUGAUACACCUAUCACGUAUCUGACUCUUGAGGUGUUAUUGUUAACCAUUGAAAGAAGAAUGUUGGAGCAUGCUGCUCCUAUGGUGGAACAAGCUUCUGUUACGGCCUUUGUUGCUGCAAGAAGACGAGGUGAAGGUCGUGGUGUUGGGCGCAGUGCUUCUCCUUUCAAUCGUGGUGGAACGUCGAAUCAACGAGGAUUCAACCCUCGUAAUAACAACAAUCAACGCUAUGCUUCUGGAAAUGGGGAACGAUGUGCUUCUACUGGUGAGCAUAUUAUCUGCCAGAUAUGGCAAACCUGGUCAUCCAGCUCUGGAUUGCUAUCAACGAAUAAACGCUGCUUUUGAAGGCCGCAUUCUUACCAAGCGUCUCUCUGCCAUGGUAUCGUUUCCUACUACUCUCAAUAAACAAAAAAAUGGCAAUUGGUUACUGGACAUAGGAGCCAAUGCGCACAUCACUCCGAAUCUGCAAAACCUGGUAAACCCGAAGAAGUAUAAUGGUAAUGAUAGUGUUGGUGGUGCAGGUAAAGACUUUGGUAUUUUGAUUGCACAUUAUGGUUCUAAUAAAAUUAAUAUUGAUGCUUGCUCAUUUAAUUUACAAGACAUCCUACACUGCCCUAAAGCCUCAACUAGCAUCAUUUCUGCCCACAAGUUUACAUUAGACAAUGACUGCUAUUUAUUAAUCUUCCCACAUUUUUUCCUUGUAAAGGACCUCAAGACCCGGAUGACGCUUUUUCAAGGGAGAUAUGAGAACGGCUUAUACCCGUUUUCAGGUGGCGGUUGACAACUUCCAAAUCAAGUUAAAGUCUUUGUAGGGGUUCGAGUUUCUGUUCAAAAAUUGCACGUCUUGGUCAUCCUGCCAGUUCAACAAUAAAGUUUUUAAUUGCAAAUAAAUUGGUUCCAGUUCAUGGUACCUCCAAUGUCACCUUUUGUCAGUCUUGUCCAUUAGGAAAGAGCACCAAGUUGCCUUUCAAAGUGUCAGUGUCUGUUUCCAAUUGUCUUUUGCAGCUUCUACAUUCUGAUGUUUGGUGUUCUCCAAUUAUUUCCAAUGAAGGUUUUCGUUAUUAUGUCCUGCUUGUUGAUGAUUACUCAAGAUAUUCUUGGAUUUUUCCCAUGAAAAAUAAAUCUCAAGUCUUUGAAAUAUUUAUCUAGUUUAAGGCCAAAGUUGAAAAUAUGUUCAAUUUAAAAAUUAAAGCCAUUCAAUGUGAUGAAGGUGGUGAAUACAAAAGAAUUGCCUUUCAAAAGUUUUUAGCACUUCAUGGGAUUUCUCAAAGAUUUUCGUACCCUAAACAUCCAGAACAAAAUGGACUUGCGGAGCGUAAAAACCGACACAUUGUUGAAACUAGUAUUGUGAUGCUUUCUCAGUCAUACAUACCUACUAAGUUUUGGUUUGAUGCUUGUUGUACGACAACAUAUUUGAUAAAUAGGUUACCAACCUGUUUGUUGUCUAACAAAUCACCUUAUGAGAAGUUAUUUCAUAAACCACCAAACUAUGAUAUCCUAAAAAUUUUUGGUUGUCAAUGUUUUCCGUGGUUGAUGCCUUAUACACAAAAUAAACUUCAACAAAAAUGCAAAUCAUGUGUUUUCUUACGUUAUUCAUUGACUUAUCAAGGCUAUAAAUGUAUGAAUUUGUCCACGAAACGAGUUUAUUUGUCUCGCCAUGUCCUGUUCAAUAAGGACUUUUAUCCUUUUCAAGGACUCACAUCUUUUUCUGAAAGCGUUCAAACACAUGGUACUUCUUCUUAACCAGAUCUCUUAUUUAAUUUUCCUUUACACACAUCUCCUUCUUUGACCACGAUACCUACUCCCAUACAAACACUCACUAUCCUUCCACCAUAAAUUUCAACCACAUCUGCCAUCCCACAUCGAAUAGUGACCCAACCUAAUCCUACAUCUUCACCUAGUCAAACUGACACCCCACAUGUAACCCAACCUAAUUCUUCACCUUCACCUAUUCAAACCGACAACACCCAUAUGACCUCACCUCAUCCUACUCCUUCACCAAUUCAACCUGACAACACCCAUGUGACUUUACAGCCUAGUAUUGUACGUUCAUCUCCAGUGUUGAAUGAGCAAGCUACAGUAAUUCAAGACCUCAUGCCAAUGCCUUACGUGGCUCCUAUUGAACCACCACACUCUAUGACCACACAUUCCAAGUCCGGAAUACACAAACCAAACCCUAAGUAUGCUAUGCAUGUGGCUAUUAAUGAUGUUCCUGUUGAGCCUACUUGUUUUACUCAGGCAGUUAAAUAUCCAGAAUGGAGACAUGCUAUGAUCCAAUAGUUUAAUGCCUUGAAGUAUUGUGGAACAUGGAGCUUGGUUCCAUACCGGCCAAACAUGAAUCUUUUGCCCAACAAGUGGGUGUUCAAAAUAAGGAGGAAUGUCGAUGGUACCAUUGAAAGACAUAAAGCACAUUUGGUUGCAAAUGGUUUCCAUCAACAACCUGGUGUGGAAUACACCGAGACCUUCAGUCCUGUUCUUAAACACAGUACCAUAAGACUUGUUCUAAGUUUUGCAGUAUCGAAAAAUUAGCAUGUUCGACAGCUUGAUGUGCAGAAUGCAUUUCUGCAUGGAUAUUUAAGUGAAGAAGUAUACAUGAGACAGCCUGCAGGGUUUGUUGACAAGCAGUUUCCUCACUAUGUUUGCAAACUGCAACGUUCCAUUUACGAGUUAAAGCAAGCUCCUAGGGCUUGGUUUCAACAUUUUUCAGAAUUUUUGCUUCAACUUGGCUUUCAAGAAUUAACAUGUGAUUACAGUCUCUUUGUAUUUAAUCAGAAAGGUGUGUAUCUCAUCUUAUUAAUCUAUGUCGAUGAUAUUCUACUGACUGGGAAUAGUAUUACCAAGCUACGAACCUUGUUUUCCAUGAAAGAUUUAGGACCAUUCCACUAUUUUUUGGGUGUUGAACUGAAGUAUUUUGGGAAUUGCAUGCAUCUCAGUCAAUCCAAGUAUGCUUUGGAUCUUCUCACACGCAUAAAGUUCAUUGAAGCUAAAGCCUAUAUCAACUCCAGUUUCCUGUGGCCAUAAGCUAAAUGCGUAUGAUGGUGAGGCAUAUGAAAAUCCAACACACUAUCAUAGUGUUAUUGGAGCAUUGUAGUACAUUACUAUUACUCAUCCUGAUUUAUCCAACUCGGUUAAUCAAGUAUGCCAGUUUAUGCAUGCACCCAAACUUGCUCACUAGAAGGCUGUCAAACGUAUUAUUCGUUACUUGAAAGCCACACAUACUCAUGGACUUCUCUACAAACCUGGAAAUGCUAGGCUGUUUGCGUUUUCUGAUGCUGAUUAUGCUGGUAAUCCAGAUACCAGACAUUCCACAGGUGGCUACUGCAUUUAUUUGGGUCCCAAUCUUGUUUCCUGGAGUUCAAAGAAACAGAAGAUAGUGUCUAGGUCUAUUGCAGAGGCUGAGUACAGACAGUUGACUUAUACUGCAGCUGAGUUAUCGUGGCUUCGAUCUUUUUUUAAGGAUAUACAUUUGCAUCUUUGUCAACCAACGAUUUGGUGUGACAAUGUUUCUUCCAUUGCACUUGCCUCCAAUCCUGUUUUCCAUUCGCGCACAAGACAUCUUGAGGUUGAUUAUCAUUAUGUUCGGGAAAAGGUUGUUCGUGCUGAAUUAAUAGUCAAUUACAUUUGUUCUUAAGAUCAGCUAGCUGAUCUGUUUACCAAAGGACUGUCAUCGUCACGCUUCAAGUUACUGGUAUCCAAGCUUCCUGUUCUUCCACCCCCAGUCAGCUUGCGGGGGGCUGUUUAGGCCUGGCAAUUCCUGACACGACACGACACGAAAUUAACAGGUGUUUGGGUUGACACGAUAACGAAACGGGUCGUUAUCGGGUAACCCGAUAAGCACCUGUUAAGAUAACGGGUUGGUUCGGGUAUACACGUGGGUAACACGAUACACGAUAAGCAGAAUAUUAAUUUAAUAAUUUUAUAACCCUAAAAAAAUACUAUAAUAAUUAUAUAUAUUAAUUUAACAAUUUUAUACCCUAUAAACUAUAAUAAUUAUAUAUAUAUAUAUUAAAUUAACUAUAAUAAUUAUAAUAAUUAUAUAUACUAUAAUAAUUAUACCCCCAAAAUAUUAACUAUAAUAGUUAUAUUUAUAUAUAUAUAUAUAUAUAUAUAUAUUAAAUUUUAAAUUAAAUUUUAUACCCCUAAAAACUAUAAUAAUUAUACAUACAAAAUAAAUAGAUUUAAAUCUACUUAAUAAAUAAAUAAAAUAUAUGUACACACACACACACCAUUGAACUUCAUGGGAUACGAAUUAUAAGAAACUAAUUUCAACGAUCAAACCGUCAAACUUGUUUGUAUAUGCUUCGAGAUCGCAUCAGCAAAAAAUUACAAAAAAAAAACAUUCACAUAUCAAGUAACGGGACAAAACCUUUCGACGGUUAUAAAUGAAAAAUCACGAUUUAACGGUUAUUUUAACUCCGAUUUUGAUGAUUUUUUACAGCUACACUCCUUUACCCUAUGUGAAUACAAUGAAUGAAUUCGAUCUUCAAUUUAAAAUAUUUACACUAGGGGAUACCAUAAAAUCUUAUGUUAUACUUGAUGAAAGUAUGAAUAAACUCUUAAGUGUUAGUGAAUCUAUUGUUUUGAUGGGAUACGCAUUCUACGAAACUAAUUUCAACGAUCCAACCGUCAAACAUGUUUGUAUAUACUUCGAGAUCGCAUACACCAAAAAUUGCAAAAAACAAACAUUCAGAGAUCAAGUAACGAGACAAAACCUUUCAACGGUUAUAAACGAAAAAUCACGAUUUAACGGUUAUUUUAACUCCAAUUUUGAUAAUUUUUUACAGCUACACUCCUUGACCCUGUAUGAAUACAAUGAAUGAAUUCAAUCUUCAAUUUAAAAUAUUUACACUAGUGGAUACCACAAAUCUUAUGUUAUACUUAAUGAAAAUAUGAAUAAACUCUCAAGUGUUAGUGAAUUUAUUGUUUUGAUGAGAUACGCAUUUUGUGAAACUAGUUUCAACGAUCCAACCGUCAAACUUGUUUGUAUAUGCUUCGAGAUCGUAUACGCCAAAAAUUGAAAAAAACAAACAUUCAGAGAUCAAGUAACGGGACAAAACUUUUCGACGGUUAUAAACGAAAAAUCACGAUUUAACGGUUAUUUUAACUCCGAUUUUGAUGAUUUUUUACAUCUACACUCCUUGACCCUAUAUGAAUACAAUGAAUGAAUUCGAUCUUCAAUUUAAAAUAUUUACACUAGGGGAUACCACAAAAUCUUAUGUUAUACUUGAUGAAAGUAUGAAUAAACUCUUAAGUGUUAGUGAAUCUAUUGUUUUGAUGAGAUACGCAUUCUACGAAACUAGUUUCAAUGAUCCAACCGUCAAACAUGUUUGUAUAUACUUUGAGAUCGCAUACGCCAAAAAUUGAAAAAAACAAACAUUCAGAGAUCAGGUAACAGGACAAAACUUUUCGACGGUUAUAAACGAAAAAUCAUGAUUUAACGAUUAUUUUAACUCCGAUUUUGAUAAUUUUUUUCAGCUACACUCCUUGACCCAAUAUGAAUACAAUGAAUGAAUUCGAUCUUCAAUUUAAAAUAUUUACACUAGUGGAUACCACAAAAUCUUAUGUUAUGCUUAAUGAAAAUAUUAAUAAACUCUCAAGUGUUAGUGAAUAUAUUGUUUUGAUGAGAUACGCAUUUUGUGAAACUAGUUUCAACGAUCCAACCGUCAAACUUGUUUGUAUAUGCUUCGAGAUCGCAUAUGCCAAAAAUUGCAAAAAACAAACAUUCAGAGAUCAAGUAACGGGACAAAACGUUUCGACGGUUAUAAAUGAAAAAUCACGAUUUAACGGUUAUUUUAACUCCGAUUUUGAUAAUUUUUUACAGCUACACUCCUUGGCCCUAUAUAAAUACAAUGAAUGAAUUCGAUCUUCAAUUUAAAAUAUUUACACUAGUGGAUACCACAAAAUCUUACUUGAUGAAGUAUGAAUAAAAUCUUUAAGUGUUAGUGAAUCUAUUGUUUUGAUAGGAUACACAUUCUACGAAACUAGUUUCAACGAUCCAACCGUCAAACAUGUUUGCAUAUACUUCGAGAUUUCAUAUGCCAAAAAUUGAAAAAAACAAACAUUCAGAGAUCAAGUAACGAGACAAAACAUUUCGACGGUUAUAAACGAAAAAUCACGAUUUAACGGUUAUUUUAACUCCGAUUUUGAUGAUUUUUUACAGCUACACUCCUUGACCCUAUAUGAAUACAAUGAAUGAAUUUGAUCUUCAAUUUAAAAUAUUUACACUAGUGGAUACCACAAAAUCUUAUGUUAUACUUAAUGAAAGUAAGAAUAAACUCUUAAGUGUUAGUGAAUCUAUUGUUUUGAUGAGAUACGCAUUCUAUGAAACUAGUUUCAACGAUCUAAUCGUCAUACUUGUUUGUAUAUGCUUCGAGAUCGCAUACGCCAAAAAUUGCAAAAAACAAACAUUUAAAGAUUAAGUAAAGGGAUAAAACUUUUCGACGGUUAUAAACGAAAAAUCACAAUUUAACGGUUAUUUUAACUCCGAUUUUGAUGAUUUUUUACAACUACACUCCUUGACCCUAUAUGAAUACAAUGAAUGAAUUCGAUCUUCAAUUUAAAAUAUUUACACUAGUGGAUACCAUAAAAUCUUAUAUUAUACUUAAUGAAAGUACGAAUAAACACUCUAAUGGGUCACUUUCAUUAAGCUUUUAGUUCCAUUGGCAAGGUUUAAACUUUUGAGAAAGAUUUCACAACCUUGAAAACAAAAAUGCUUUCAUUUUGCAUAUCCUUGCACAUUUAAUAUUUGUAAUAGAUUAGUAGUGUAUGAAUGUAUUUUUUAUGAGGCUCUUAUUUUUUAGUGUAGAUGUAAUACUUAAACGACAAAUGUGUUUUAAUGUUUUGAAGUAAUAUUUAUGUAACAAUGUGUGGCAUGUGCAAAUUUAAGAAAAAAAAAUAUUUUUCUUAACGGGUCAUAACGGGUCGGGUCAUUUUACCCGUUGGGUAAAGUGACCUGACCUGUUAAGGACCCGUUAAGAUAACAGGUGUGACACGACACAACCCGUUAAGAUAACAGAUGUUACACAAAAACGACACGAACACGACUGACACGACUCGUUUGCCAGGCCUAGGGCUGUUAGACAAAGUCAACCGUUGGUGGUAACCAAUACUUCUUGAAGAGUCGUGUUGUGCUUAGAGUCUUAUCUCCUUGUUUAUAGGACUUCCUUUUGAAUUAUUCUUCUAACUGAAACUGGUUGUAAUCUUUGUAGAUUCAGUUUGUAUCUUUUGAAUUUUGAACUUCCGUGUAAAUAGGGUUAAGUCAAACCCUGAUUGUAAUCUGUAAGUGGUUAUAAAUGCAUGCAUCCCACACAUUCAAGGAUAUGCAACUGAAGUGAAAUCUUUGUGUUCUUAAGUUUUACAGUCUUGAGAAAUUUUUUUUUAAGUUAUUAAAAAUUUUAGCAUACAUAUCCCAUCAUUUGUAUAAUAACACGUGAUAUACUAUCUCAUAUAUUGAUUACACUAAAAAAAUCUCUCGGCAUUUGUGGCAAUGACAACCAUGGGCUAUCGCCAUUUACUGUAAGGAGUCCUUCGAGGUGUCGGGCUCCAACCCAUUAAACAGGGAACACACACUUUCAUGAUUCCAUCUUUUCAUGGAUACUGGUAAAAGCUUUUGUAAAUUGUGACCAUGAAUAUGCAUGCAGUUUCUCAAACUAUCCACGUAGAGAUGUGAUUUCAUAACCUACAGUUGCGGGUUUACUAUUCAUUAUCUUCCACACAUAUGUUUGAUUGGGCAAAAACUUCGGAAAAAGAUCAUCGACGGAUUCUUUUUUCUGGAGAUUUUAAGGAUUCUGUGAUCAAGAUCCAUUGUAAAUCUUGUAGUAAAAAAUUAUUUUACAAUUAAAAAUUAAAUGUAAACAGUACUUAACAAAAAAUAAUCACACGAUAUAUAAUUAAAUGAUCGUGAUCAUAAAAUCCCUAGAAUCUUAGAAAAAAUAAAAAUAUAAUGCGAGAGAAUCCUACUUCAGAAAGAUCCUUUUCCAAAAGCUUCCUUCUCUUGGACAAGACUGAGGCCAAGGUCAAAUGUUAUUGAUUGAGAUGCGAAAAGAUAACCUCCAUUUUUCCAAAAAAAUUUAAAGGUAAUUUUGAUUACUUAAUUAAAGGUGAAAAGGCAAAAGGAGCUAAUUGUACGAGGACAUGUGUGGAUUGUAUAUCAAUCAACAAACAACAUUUCAUUUUACUUUUUUUACAAUCGAAAUUUGUCAUCAGUCGAUGAGAUUCUUGCUUCCAUGGAAGCAACGAAGAAGAAAGAGGAAAAACUCUCCAAUUUUAUUAUAGUUUUUAGAUAACUAGUAAUACCCUAUGUGCUUUUGGAAUAUUGUUAUUGUAUAUUACUCUUUGAGCAGAAAGAGUUUCAUUUAGCAUUUUUUUCAUGUGUCCGUUUUAUGUGCGGUAGUUAUUGAUGUUUGCGCUUUUGGAUCCGAUCAAUCUUAUAAAUUUAUAACAAAAAUUAAAUUGCAGUGUUUGUAUGACACUUAAAUUAGGUCUUCUUAGGUUUCACUAGGAGAGAGUUUGCACGAUGUUCGUGUACGGCGAUUGGUGUCAAGUUACCUUGAUCUUGUGUUUGUAGUUCUACGGGCAUAGGUAAGUGGUUGUUUGGUCCAACUAAUCCACUUUGUUGGAUACAUUUUCAGCUGAUGGUUCAGGCUGGUUUCACAGCAUGUGGAAGUCAUGGUUGCAUGCUUUGUCAUAGGGUUGACGCUCACUACACAGCAAUGGUUGAAUACUAACAAGUUUGUGGGCGGAAGAUCCCCCUGAUUUGCUUAGGGAUAUUUUGUAAUUUGCUUAUGUAUUGACAUUUGAGGUGCGUCCUUUCGUCGUGCAGGACACUCUUUUUUCUUUGACCGAGUUGAAAGCUUCGGCAAAGUUUUAUUGAGGCCCACUGUGCACACUAUCCUCAGUUUGUUCUCAAACUGUACUUGUUCUAUGUUGUUUGAAAUGAAUAUCGAAUAUCUUCUUUCUGUCAACAAAAAAAAAAAAGAAAAAUUAGUUUGGACUUCUUGUGUUAGAACUAAUGUUUUUAACAUGGUGUAUAAACUUAAAUAUCCCAUAUAUUUUUUUCAUCUACUGUAUAAAAAACGAAAAAUACAUAUGUUAAUCACUUAUACAAUACAACCAAAUGAGAAUAAGAAAAUUUCAUAAUUUGAACAAAUUAUGGGAGAGUCCAUAUGCGCAUGAUUUCUGACUUAGUAAUGUAGGGCAUAGUUGGCCGGCAGCAAAAAUUUAAUAGCUUAGCAUAAGCAAAAAUUAUAAUAAAAGGAUAACUGGAAUCGCUCCAGGGGUCUCUCACCCGUCAUUGACCUUUCACCAAGAAUUUUGGCAUCUAUCCCAUCUCAGGGCUAGAAUUUUAAUCUCUGGAAGGCAUAGCUUUUCUAUUAAACUCUUCAUUAUUUGUUAAUCUGAAUUACAAGCGAAUUUUAUAAAGCCUAAAACCUAAUGACCGCAUGAAGGUAAACUUAUUAUAGUAAAGAAAUCAUAAUCCAAAAUAGAAUGGGACACUAUAUCUAAUCCUAUUCAAACUGGAAAGAAUUAUAGAGCUCGUUGAAAGUACUUUUAAAAUGACUGAAAGUGCUUUUGAUAAAAAUGAUUUUGGAACCAAUGCUUAGUAAAAAUGCAAGUAAAUUCUGAAGAAAAAAAAAACAUUUAAAUUGUUUUAUGAAAUAAGCAUAUAAUUGGUGGUUCUUAUAGUAAGCACUUUAAGUGCUUUUGAAACCAAAAAAUAUUUUAUUUAAAAGCGUUUUUAAUCAUUUUAAAAAUAUUUUAAAAUCAACGUAACUAACCCCCUAGAUAUUAAACUACUAAGGACUAAAGAUUAAAAAGGCUAAAUACCCUUUAAAUAAGGAAGUCACCACUCGUGUUCCACGUGGCUUAGCUAUUACUAAUUUACUAUCACCAAUAAUUGAUGAAAGAUAAUAUCAAAAUAGAGGCAUAGAGUCAGCUAAUCUUUUAUUUUUUUGGUGAACAGAGUCAGCUAAUCUGGAACCUCUCUUUUUCAUGUAAAGUUCCUUAUCGACGAAGAAAAAUGUGCUAUAUAUUAUUUAUUCGUGUGUUUCAAAAGUGAAUAGUCUCUUUAGUAAGGUGGUGACCUUAAAUAAACUUGAGGUGCAAUUGUAAAAUUAAUUGGUAAAUAAUGAGUAGUUCACUUCUUUAUAAGGAAAAUUAAUGAAAAGGGUUUUUGAAAACUUUGAAUUUUAAAGAUAAGGACAUAAUAAAGGGUAAAAUGAAAAGUACAAGGUUUGACUUUUUAGUGUAAAAAUGUGGUUUUUCGUUAAAGUGAACAGUACCGCGGGUUUUUCAUUAAAACUUCAUUCUUUAUAAGCUCUUGUAUGAUUUGAUUUCUCAUCGAUGUGAGAUUUUGUCUUUACAUUCUCACACUCUUCUCGCACUUGAUGAAUUUUAAAACCUAACACGUAGACAAUACAAAUUUGGUGACGUGGAACAAGUGUGGUCAUUGGACUUCAAAUGUGGACUAAUAUGGAGAGUAGUCUAACUCUUCAUAAGCUGUUUCAUGAUUUGGUUAAUCACUGAUGUGGGACUUUGUCCUCAUAUUCUCACACGCUCCCUUAUGUGGUGAAUAUUCAGGCUUAACAUAUGAACAUAAAUUGAAUGACAUGGGGUAGGUGUGGCCAUCAAACUUCAUACAUGGACCAACCUGCUUUAAUACGAUGAAAACAAUUAAGGUUCCACCAUAAAACUAAUUGACAAUAUAAAAAGUAAUCAAACUGUUUAUAAGCUCUUGCAUGAUUUAGUCUCUCGCUACGUGAAACUUUUUCAUCGUAUCCUGACAAAUCUUGCUCAUAAUUAAUUUGAUAGUUGCGGUUCUGACGAACGGUGGGUUUUAGUAGGGGUGGGUUCUUCGUUGCUCCUUCACAGGGCGCAUCAGGUUCUGUUUCCAUGUGCAUAAUAAGUUGCUGCCAUGACAAACACUCAAUCUUUUCAACUUCAUACUCUUCAGAGCAUCACCGAGAAUGAGAACAAGAUAAAGUUGUUAUUUGGCAGGGUAGGCUAAAAUUGGUCUCAUGAUAUGUACAUAGUAUAUUUUGUAAAAAUGUGGAGUGUUGGUCCAUAUCGUAAGGUUAAUAAACUUUGUUAAUUUGUUACAUAGUGCAUAAAAUCUCAAUUUUCUUUAAAGUAUCAAAGUCGGUUGAAUCACAUGUUUAAUUCUUCUAUCGCAGUAUGAGAGUUAAUUGAACUACAUGUUUGUUUUGAAUGUCACUGAACAUGAGAGAGUCUGUGAGUAUGUAAAGGGUUGAUCCACAUCAAAAAGUUAAGAAACUGUUGUGAUUUUAGGUUGUCCUGGAAGAUGCGUUUCACCAUUUGAUGUAGCUCGUAUGGGAAGCCAAACUUUUUCUUCUUUUGCUAACUUUUUUUUUUUUUUUUUGUUGAAGAACAAGGAAAUUCAUUCCAGGCUAAGAAGCCAAGAAGCUACAGGAAAGCCUACAAAGAGGCAAACACCAAGAAAGACAGACCAGGACAAAAGCUGUGAAAGGGAAUGCAACCUCAAGGGUCAAGACACUUGCACCAAGUGAAAGCAUCACCCCAAACAUCAUCACAGCUAAAUUAAUACGGACACGGAAGAUCAUCAUUGUUCAAAACAUAAAUCAACAAAAACAGGGCUGAUCGACUCAAACAGAUUCAUUCAUCUCUGAAAAAUCAACCGACGCAAGCACAUGCGCUGUCCCAUUGGCCGAGACCAGGGACAGUUCUGGAAAACCACCCCCCCCCCCCCCCCCUAUUUUAGGGAUUCUCCUUCUCUUAGAGCAACUCCACCCAUGGAGCCCUGUCCCCUGGCAAUCCACUAUUCAAUCCACCCUAUUGAACAAUAACUGCCUUAAAUGAAUAGUAAUUACCAUUAAUGAACAGUAAUUGCCAUUUACAUCUCCACCCUUAGAACCCUCCCCUGGCAAUAAGCAAUAAAAAUAAUAGUUUUUUAUGUUUGUUUAAAUAAUAAAAAAAUUACAAAAGCUAUCUCUCUCUCUCUAACACAAAAAAAAUAAAAAAAUACAAAACCCUCGGGCCACAGGCCCGUCGACUCCCCACCCCCCCUUCGCUCGACCUCCCACCCUCACUCGGGCCCUUCCCCGCUGGAUUUGCUCCCACCGGCCCGAGGGCCCUUUCUCCUCGCCUGACGCCCGAGCAACCAGCAAGGCUGGAGUUGCUCUUAUUCAGGUUGACAUCGGAGUCGGCAUCCCUUAAUGAUGUUAACAUCGGAGUGGUUGCCCUUCUCUUAAUGAUGUUCGGAGUGAUGUUGACAUCGGAGUGGUUGCCCUUCGCUGAAUGAUUUGACAUCGGAGUGGUUGCCCUUGUCUUAAUGAUUGUUGACAUCGGAGUGGUAUGGAAUCUUUGACUAAGAAAACCCCAGCAAACGUUGCCGGGUCCAACUCCACCAACCGACAGACAAAUAAAAGUGAUGGUGGGACUUGUGGAUGAGAAUAGUUUGUCACAUACCAAUUAAUUGAGUGAGUAAGAUAAAUUACAUUUAAUUAAUUAGUUAUUUGCCACAAUAACACAAAGUUUGUUGGCUGAUUUUUAAUUGAUAAUUACAUGUAAUUAAUUAGUUGUUUGCCACCACCCGAUAACACUCAUACUCUCCCACUAUUUCGAUUGAUAAAAGUAAUUCGUGGAUUGUUUUGUGGUCCCCGUGACAGUACCUAGUAAUAUAUAUCCUUCGGAUAAGAAUCUUUUUAUUUAUUUAUUUUUUAUGAGAAAUCUUAAAAUUCUUACAUUGUGAUCGUUCAUUAUACAUCAUACAAUUAGUUUUCGUUAGAUCUUAUUUGUGUUUAAUUUUAAACAAAAUAAUUUAUAAUUGCACGAUAUACAAUAAAUAGUUAAGAUGUGAGAAUUUCUAAAAUUCCCACACUUUGAAUGCGAUGGAAUCCAAAUCCAUAUCUUUCAUCCACGUGAGAACCAGCUGGUCUGCAUAUGACUUGGACCAAAUACUUAAUUUACAGUUCCUAGCUAGUUAUUAUUUGGCAAAUAAUUUCUUUUCGUAUGAUUCUUCCUCAUUUGACCUCAACCUCUUAAACUUGUAAAUCUCCCACGAGUCCCGACAUAGUUGUGCCCUACUUUUAAGCGCGGUUAAAUUAUUUUUCAACCCAUUAGAAUUUCAGGUCAUGGCAAUUAUUUUAAGGAAAACUAAUGAAAAUGGCUUGAAAACUUUGAAUUUUAAUGAUAAGGACAAAAUAAAGGGUAAAGUGAAUAGUACCAGGAUUGACUUUUUAAUGUAAAAAUGUGGUUUUUCGUUAAAAUGAACAGUACCGGGAGCUUUUCGUUAAAGUUUCCAUUAUUUUAUUGUUUGAAUGUAGGAAAAGUUGAAAUAUGACAAUCUGGUAAAGUAAUAUAAAUAUUAUAGUUUUCCGAGAUAUGUGUGCAUACAAAGUUACAACCACACAUCACGUGUUUGAUUAUUUCAGUUUACUAUAUGAUCGUAAUUUGUUUUUAAUUAAUAUAGUAAAAAUUGAAAUUACACAAUAAAAUUAAUUGGGAAUUUUAAGUCUAAACUUGGACAACGAAGCACGCAACUAUUCAGGUUCACACAUGCCUAAAAAUAUCUUUAAUAUCAAGAAGAAAAUUAAAAUUUAACCAUAAAAUUAAUUCACAAUAUAAAAUGUAGCUGAACUUUUUAUAUAGAAGCGCAUACAAUAUUUUUUUCCCGUUAAGAUUCUCUCCUAGCAUCAUAUUACUGUAUGUAUUUAGGAUAGGUUAAACAAAAGUAAAAGGAUACUCGAUGGACUAUGACCUUUUAUAUAAAAUGCAGGGCAUAUAUUUUAUGCAUAAGGUUCGAAAACUGUUGACCUUGUUAACAAUGAAAGUCUCUUUUCCUUAAUUGAUGGAUCUCGCAGAUUGAUACACUUUUGUUGUGUGAUUAUUAACGUAUUAGCUGAUCAAUUGAUGCAUGUGGUCCUUCGUUACAAUCAAUGAUGCUUGUUUAAAAUAAUAUUAGGCUGGCACAACUUUGUAAUACUACUUGAUUUAUUAUAUUAUUAUUUUGAUUUCACACGAUGAUUUGUUAUCCAGAGCGUUAGAGGCAAGACAUAGUACCUUAGAGUUUAGGAUUGUUUAAUUUAAUUUUAAUAUGAGGUGAUAAUAAAUCACUCACCCACUAACAUAUGGUUUUAGGAUGAUAAAUCCUAACAGCAGCAAAAGGAAUGUAGACCGUCGACUUAAUCCAUAUGUACCCCUCUGCUUGCUAUUUUGUUUGUUGUCUAUUUCUCUCUCCCUUUUUUGGAAGGGAAUUUUGCUGUUCCCAUGAAAUGGUAUUACCAAUGGAGGCAGAUUGACUGCCCUCCUGGUUGUGGUGUCCUUCCAUGCCUUUUUAUUUGUACUGUCACGAUAAAGUUACGUUAAUAUUUUAUAUUUUUAUUGUUUUUUGUCUUAUUAUCUUUAUUAAAAAAUUAAUAUAAAAUGUUGACGUAGCUUAACCGUGACCGUAAAAAAUAAGAGGGCAUGGAAGGGCACCACAACUAGGAGAAAAAAGCGUGAGCCGUUAUUAAACAUUAUAAAGUUGAUGAUUAUCAAUGGCGGAUGCAUACUCUCUUCGAAUUCCUAAAAAGCACACGCAAUGUCAAUUUUAUUUUUAGGAAAAUUAACGAAAAGUAAAAAAAAAUUAUCUUUUAACGAAAAAUCAUUUUUAAUGGUAUAAUAAAUAGUAACAGUUAAAGAUAAAAAUGUGAUUUUUCAUUAAAAGUAAAUAGUAUCAAGAGUAUUUUAUUAAAAUUCCUUCUUUUUUUUUCAAUUUAAAUAAGACAUUUUAUUGAGCACUUGACCAGCUGCCAAUAUUUCGUGUUAUUUUAAUUAUAUAUUUAAGAUCAAUAUUUUGAUUCCUGCUCAGACCAAUUUUUUUAGACCAAAACUUGAGGAGGCACGUGCCCACUUUGAUCCUUGCCAAGAUUUGACCCUCAUCACUGGCAGGGCCGCUUCAGAUCGAUGGCCAAAUAAAAAAAGAAGGCAGAUUCUCUGCCCUCUCAUUUCUUGUGUCAUUCUGUGCCUUUUUGUUUAUAUGAUCACAGUUAAGUCACGUUAAUAUUUUAUAUUAUUAUUUAUUUUUAUCUUAUUAUAUAUAUAAAAAAUAAUAUAAAAUAAUGACGUUACUUAACCGUAACUAUACAAAACAGAAGAAUAUAGAAAAUGAAAGGGCAGAGAAUCUGCCUUCAAUAAAAAUACAAGUAGAUAAGCCAUCUGAAAAAAUAAUUGUACGUACAUAAAUAAAUAAAUAUAUACAUACACACACAUAGCACACAAGUAACUCCAAAUCCUUGAUAUAUUUCGGAUCAAAACUCACCAAACGUCCCACGAGCAUACCUCACCAAACGUCGCUCACCCCUAGCAUUAACCAAAGCAACGAAGGAAAAACAACAAGGUUAGGAGAGGAAGGAUCACAUCACUAAUCACGCUCUUGUUAAGAUGUAGGGUAGACUUCUUAAAAUAAUAAUACCGACAUUUGAACCACAUACAAGUGCAAGUUUCUUACCUAAGUGAGGGUGAUGCUCAGUCUCCUAUUUUAAAGUAAGAGUGAAGCUCAACCUUAUUAAUUAUUGUUAAAUUAGUUUAAAUUUUAAAAUUCAUAUUUUAAAUCAAUUAAACUAAACUAAUUUAACGGUAAGUAAGAGUGAACAUCACCCCAUUUUAGAGAUGAACAAAGUUGCACUCAUGUUUUAAUUAGCAGCCAAGCUGGGGUCCACAACUUUAAACGUAUGGUUUGUAGAUGUGACACAUAAACAUCGUUUCUCCAGUACAAAAUUGUCACCUUUCGCAAGAGAUAUGAUUUAUGUAAUAUCCAAUUAUUAACAUGAAGUUCCAAUAUAUUCAUUUCGUAAAUGUGAUAAAGAAAAUAAGAGGUAAUAUUUUUUUCCGAAUUCGGACGUUGAAUCCUUUUUAUGAGGAUUUUAAAGAACUGUGAAUUAUAUUCGUUCAUUGUAUAUCAUAUAAUCAUAAAUUAUUUUAAAUACAAAUAGUACCUGACAAAAACUGACCGCACGAUAUACGAUGAACGAAAAUGAUUUACGAUUCAGAAUUCUCAUCAAAAGAAUCUAGGGUCAUGUAGGUUUUUUUCCUUGGUCAAAAAAAAAUAUAACAUUAUAAUAUUUAAUUGUUAAACGUGUUUCUCCCACCCAAUUAUUCAAGCAUCAUAUUUCUUGGAAUUAUCUCUCUCUCUCUCUCUCUCUCUCUCUCUCUCUCUCUCUCUCUCAUUCAUUUUUAUGCGUACUCAAUGAGUGGUAAUGGAGUAGGUGCUCCAAUAUUAAUUAUGCAUACACAUUUUUAGUGUGCGGUCCCUCUGGUUUCCACUAUAAAAACAUCAUACUCCCCUUUCCUUCUGAAUUGCAGAGUGGAAAGGAAAACUAAUUCAGCCAUGGCUUCAUCUCCUUUACCAUCAACUUCUACAAUGGCCGCCGUGCACUCCACCACAACCACCCCCUUCCGCUCUCCUUUAUUCCCAAACAAGUACCAGACUUCAUUGCAACGAAAACCCAAACAAUGCCUUGCAGGCAGAGUGCGCUGUAAAGCAACAAAAGGUGACAAUGAAAACCUAGACCAGGGCCUAGCAAGACUCGACAGGAGGAACAUGCUGAUAGGUUUAGGCGCUGGGGGUCUCUACGGUGCAGCAGGAAACCCAUUUGCUUUUGCAGCACCGGUAUCCGCCCCAGAUCUGACCACGUGUGGUCCUGCCGACAAGCCAGACGGGUCCACCAUCGAUUGUUGCCCACCCACCACGACGACCAUCAUCGACUUCAAACUCCCUGACCGAGGCCCACUCCGCACUAGGCUCGCUGCCCAGGACGUUGCAAAAAACCCUGCAUACUUGGCCAAAUACAAAAAGGCCAUCGAGCUGAUGCGGGCACUUCCAGACGACGACCCGCGCAGUUUCGCCCAACAGGCCAAAGUCCACUGCUCUUACUGCGAUGGUGGAUACCCACAAGUCGGAUACUCGGAUUUGGAGAUCCAAGUUCACUACUGUUGGCUCUUCUUCCCGUUCCAUCGUUGGUACCUCUACUUCUACGAGAAAAUCAUGGGGGAGCUCAUUGGGGACCCAACCUUCGCCCUCCCCUUCUGGAACUGGGACGCACCAGCUGGAAUGUACAUUCCUGAGAUUUUCACUGAUACGUCGUCAUCCCUCUACGACCAGUAUAGAAAUGCAGCGCAUCAGCCCCCGAAGCUCUUAGACUUUAAUUACAGCGGGACCGACGAUAACGUCGACGACGCAACACGAAUCAAAGAGAACUUAACAACAAUGUACCAGCAGAUGGUGUCAAAGGCCACUUCUCACAGACUCUUUUUUGGAGAGCCCUACAGCGCAGGGGACGACCCAAGUCCUGGUGCCGGAAACAUUGAGAGCAUUCCCCAUAACAAUAUUCACUUUUGGACUGGCGACCCAACCCAGACAAAUGGGGAGGACAUGGGGGCCUUUUACUCUUCGGGGAGGGAUCCGCUGUUUUACUCCCACCAUUCCAACGUCGACCGCAUGUGGUCUAUAUAUAAAGAUAAGUUGGGAGGUACGGACAUAGAAAAGACUGACUGGUUGGACACGGAGUUUUUGUUCUACGACGAGAAAAAGAAUCUUGUGCGCGUCAAGGUUUGUGACUCGCUCGACACGAAAAAACUCGGGUACGUGUACGAUGAGAAAGUCCCGAUCCCGUGGCUGAAAUCGAAGCCGACAACUCGUAAGUCGACGAAUAAGAGAAAGGCCGCAGUUUCAUCUUCUGAUCUUACUACAACGUUCCCUGCUACACUGUCGGAUACAAUCAGCGUCGAGGUGACGAGGCCAUCUGCGACGAAGCGGACAACUGCCCAGAAGAAGGCGCAGGACGAGGUGCUGGUGAUUAAGGGGAUUGAGUUUGCCGGGAAUGAGACUGUGAAGUUCGACGUGUAUGUGAACGAUGACGCGGACUCACUGGCCGGGAAAGACAAGUCGGAGUUUGCUGGGAGUUUUGUUCACGUGCCGCAUAAGCAUAAGAAAAAUAUUAAGACGAACCUGCGGCUGAGCAUUACAAGCUUGUUGGAGGAGUUGGAUGCGGAGACAGACAGCAGUUUAGUGGUGACUUUGGUGCCAAAAGUUGGGAAGGGGCCAAUCACCAUCGGAGGGUUUAGCAUUGAGCUCAUUAAUACUACCUAAGUAUUAUUUAAUGUUAUUGUUGUCCUUGUUGGGUUGGCUUAUUCGUGUUUUUCUAGCCAAGUAAUCUUGAAUGUAAUGUGCUCAUCUACUACUUAUGUGGCAAAUGACGGUUGGUGUUCCUCGUGAAUAAAAGCACUAUGUGUUUCGGUGUGUUUAUUUAUUGAAUAAAGAAUUGAUGGUAGAUAGAGUUUAAUCAUAAUUUUCUAGAAUUAUUGAUGGUAGAGUUCUCAAAAAAUUAAGAGCAUGUUUGGUAUCUCAUUCAAAAAAAUUCAUCAUUGUACAAAACAUUUCUUAAAAAUAUGUCUUAAGAAUAAUUUUCUUUAACAUUCAAAAACUUAUUUAGUAUGAAAUUCACAAUUGUUUUUAAAAGAAAAAAAAAACUCAUCCUAUAGAUUGUUAACUUUUUCUUUUAAUUUGAGGGAUUCUCCUUCUCUUAAUGAUGUUGACAUGGGAGUGAUAUGGUUCGUGAAUUUUGACUAAGAAAACCCCUGCAUUCAUGAGUCAUGAUUCAUGACAAACGUUGUUGGGUCCAACUCCUCCAACCGACGUACAAAUAAAUGUGAUAGUGUGACUUGUGGAUGGGAAAGGGGGAUUACGUAUCACACGAGAAUAGUUUGUCACAUACCAAUAAAUUGAGUAAGUGAGACAAAUUACACGUAAUUAAUUAGUUAUUUGCCACAAUAACACAAAGGUUGUUGGCUGAUUUUUAAUUGAUAAUUACAUGUAAUUAAUUAGUUGUUUGCCACCACCCAAUAACGCUCAAACUCUCCCACUAUUUCGAUUGAUAAAAGUAAUUCGUGGAUUAUUUUGUGGUCUCCGUGAUAGAACCUAGUAAUAUAUAUCCUUCGGAUGAGGAUUUUAUCCGGAUUCUAUCUUAGAAUCUCCACAUUAUGAUUGUUUAUUGUAUAUUAUACGGUCAGUUUUCGUUAAAUACUAUUUGUUUUUAAUUUUAAAUAAAAUAAUUUCUAACCGCACGAUUUACGAUAAACAGUUAAGAUACGAAGAUUCCUACUAUUCUCACAAUUUGAAUCUGGAAUCCAAAUCCAUAUCUUUCAUUUCAUCCAUGUGACAACCAGCUGGUCUGCAUAUGACUUGGAUCAAAUACUUAAUUUACAGUUGCUUGCUAGUUAUUAUUUGGUAAAUCAUUUCUUUUCGUAUGUUUCUUCCUCAUUUGACCUCAACCUCUUAAGACUUGUAAAUCUCCCACGAGUCCAGACAUAGUUGUGCCCUACUUUUAAGCGCGGUUUAAUUAUUUUUCAACCCACUAGAAUUUCAGGUCAUGGCAAUCAUUUUAUUGUUUGAAUGUAGGAAAAGUUGAAUUAUGACAAUCUGGUAAAGUAAUGUAAGUAUUUUAGUUUACCGAGAUUUGUGUGCAUACAAAUACACACAUCACGUGCUUGAUUAUUCUUGUUUACUAUAUGAUCGUAAUUUGUUUUUAAUUAAUAUAGUAAAAAUUGAAAUUACACAAUAAAAUUAAAGAAAAACUAAUAAAAAGAGUUUGAAAACUUUAAGUUUUAACAAUAAGGAUAAAAUAAAGAAUAAAGUGAAUAGUAGUAGGAUUAACUUUUUAAUGUAAAAAUGUGGUUUUUCGUUAAAGUAAAUAGUAGCGGAAACUUUUCGUUAAAGUUCUCUAAAAUUAAUUAGAAAUUUUAAGUCUAAAACUUGGACAACGAAGCACGCAACUAUUCGACUUCACACAUGCCUAAACAUAUCUUUAAUAUUACAAAGAAAAUUAAAAUUUAAUUAUAAAAUUAAUUGACAAUAUAAAAUAUAGCUAAACUUCUUAUAUAUAAGGGUACUAGAUGGACUAUGACCUUAUUAUAUAAAAUGCAGGAUAUUAUUUUAUGCAUAGGGUUCGAAAACUGUUGACCUUGUUAACAAUGAAAGUCUCUUUUCUUUAAUUGAUAGAUCUCGCAGAUCGAUACGCUUUUGUUGUGUGAUUAUUAAUGUAUUAGCUGAUCAAUUGAUGCAUGUGGUCUUUCGUUACAAUCAAUGAUGCUUGCUUAUAAUAAUAUUAGGAUGGUGCAACUUUGUAAAACUACUUGAUUUAUUAUAUUACUAUUUUGAUUUCACAAGAUGAUUUGUUAUCUGAGCGUUAAAGGUAGGACAUAGUACCUUAGAGUUUAGGGUUGUUUAAUUUAAUUUUAAUAUGAGGUGACAAUAAAUCACUUACCCACUAACAUAUGAUUUUAUGAUGAUAAAUCCUAAUUAGCAGCAAAAGGAAUCAAGACCGUCGAUUUAAUCCAUAUGUACCCCUUCUACUUGCUCUUUUGUUUGUUGUCUAUUUCUCUCUCCCUUUAUUUUAAGGGAAUUUUGCAGUUCCCGCAAAAUGAUAUUAUCAUUUUACUCCAAUUAUAGAACGUGUAUCUGUUUAAUAUUCGGUUGUAUCUAGAACCCUGUCACGUUGUCCAACCAUAGUAACACAUUGAAUAUUAUAUGACAAAUAUUUUAUAUACACAAAUAUGUCUCCUUAUUUGUUUCUUCCCAAAGAAUUUCUUACGCACGAUGUUGUAGCUUGUAUUUGUUUACCACUAGGGGUAGGGGCAAAGAUAGAAAGUUAUUUAAUGGGGACACAACUGAGCAAUGGUGGAUACAGACCCUCUUGGAAUUCCAAAAAGAGCACACACAAUGCCAAUAUUUUUUCAAUUUAAGUAAGGCAUUUUGUUGAGCACUUGGCCAGCUGCCCAUAUACCUAUUUGUGUACUUAGUGUUCAUCGUCACCCUUUGUGUUAUUUUAAUUGUAUUUUUAAGAUCAAUAUUUUUAUGGUGAAAAAUAGAUAAAUUGUAUAGGUAUAGGGUUAGUAGGUCAAAUUCAUUAGAUGUAUAGAAGGAAGAAAUUUUUCUUCGUGAGCUGUCAUAAAUAACUCUACAACUAAACAUUUUUAUGUUAUACAUAUCUGCCUGAAUGAGAAGCGAGUGAUAGAGUUAGACCUAGUUUGGGAGUGAGGUGCUUAAAAAAAAACACCCAUGAAAAAAAGCUGUGAGGGUUUUAGGUGUUUGGUAAACUGAAAAAAAAGGCUUAUUUUGGAAGCUGCUGUGAGAAUAAGCUGAAAUCAAAGGAAAAAGAUGAAGCUGUUAUUUGCAGCUUUGGAAAAUUGGUUUUUUUUCAAAGCACACGGAGCUACAGGGCUUCUUUAAUGAAAAGACCCACUAUUAGACUGCUUUUUUUUCCAAAAACCCUUUUACAAAAAAGUUUACCAAACACUCUGCUGAUUUAUUUCACAGCCGCUUAUUCUCACAGCAGCUUUUUUUCAAAGCACAACAAUACCAAACCAGCCCUUAGUAGUUGCUGUCGUGUAUUGAUUAUUAUUUAUUGUAGUCCAAUUUGAGCGGCGGGAGGUGAAUAUAAUUAAGCAGACUUUUGAUUCUUGCUCAGACAAUUUUUUAAGACCAAAACUUGAGGAGGCACGUGCCCACUUUGAUCCUUGCCAAGAUUUGCCCUGAUCACUGGCCAGGGCUGCUUCAGAAUCCGAACGGUGGCCAAAUAAAAAGACAAGUAGAUAAGCCAUCUGAAAAAAUAAUUGUACGUACAUAAAUAAAUAUAUAUAUACACACACACUUACAAGUAACUCCAAAUCCUUGAUAUAUUUCGGAUCAAAACCCACCAAACCUCCCACGAGCAUACCUCACCAAACGUCACUCACCCCUAGCAUUAACCAAAGCAACGAAGGAAAAACAACAAGGUUAGGAGAGGAAGGAUCACAUCACUAAUUACGCUCUUGUUAAGAUGUAUGGUAUACUUCUUAAAAUAAUAAUACUGACGUUUGAACCACAUACAAGUGUAACUUUAUUACCUCUUGCAAAGUUGCACUCAUGUUUUAAUUACCAGCCAAGCUGGGAUCCACAGCUCUUUAAUCAUAUGGUUUGUAAACGUCACAGAUAAACAUUGUUUGUCUAGUACAAAAUUGCCACCUCUCUCAAAAGAUAUGAUCUAUGCAAUAUCCAAUUAUUAAUGUGAAGUUCCAAUAUUUUUUUUUAUUUUUAAAAAGGAACAACCGGUGGUAAAGUACGACUAUCCAUCUUUUUUUGAAGUCAGGAAUACUCAUAGAGGCAUUUCAGCUUCCUUAGGCCUACAAGUUUGACUUUCACUCCAGCAACGGAUUUCGAAUUUGAGACCUUCAGCUUUUAGUUUUAAAAAAAUUUCAUAAUCCUCUAUUUACAACUGAAUCACUAUCUCGUAGUUAAGUUCUAAUAUAUUUAAUUCGUAAAUAUGAUAAAGAAAGUAAGAGGUAAUAUUUCUUCCUCGGUCGAAAGAAAAUAUAACAUUAUAAUAUUUAAUUGUCAAACGUGUUUGGUGCUGGAGUAGGUGCGCUGCAUAUUCUAGGUUUUGGAGAUAAAAGAACAGAAAACAUGACCUCAUCGACAGCGAAAAGAUUAACGAAUCCUACACUCUGCACUCAUGCAUGUUCACUACCUUUUUUCUUACUUUUGUGAAAGAAGUAUUUUUCUUUUUUAACUUUUGAAAUUAAAUAAUGAUAUAAAUUUGCAGGUAAAAUUUUAUAAACUAAAUAAUAGGGAAAUUUGAAAAAAUAAUCAAAAUUUGAACUUCAUAUAGAACUAUAGCCACUCUUUUAAAUUUAUGAUAAUUAUAACAAAAAAUUGAUAUGUAAAUACUAAUAUACCUUUAAAAUAGAAAUUGAGAGAUAAGGAGAGUUUGAAAACAAAUCCAAAAAACCCAAAUCAAAUAUGAGAUUAUCCCAAUGUCUUACUGAGUUCUUUUUUUUUGGUUCCAAAGAAAAAAAAUAGACUGUGUUAAUAAAAGGAUUUUCUCGUUUUGAUUUGUGUGUGAUAAGAAAAUUUUAUUUAUUGUCGUUCAAAAAUGAUCUUUUGUUGGAUCCACUCCCGAAGAGCAUGGUCUGGGAAGCCAUGAACACUCAUGGCUAAGAUCACUUGGAGAUCAUGUCAAUAUAUAUAUUUACUGCCCCACACCACACACAUUGAUUCGUUUACAUUAGCAAUUUUUGUUUUUUACAAGUUUGGGGCAUCUAGCAAGCAUGAAAAAAAAGAUCAUUACCUAUUAGCUGCUUUUUGUCCAUUGCAAAUUUUGUAUCAGCUUUCAUUUGGCAUUUCUCUUCUGUAUUAUCUGAUUUCGAUAUGUCAUUUGUCUCUGAACUUGUAGUAGAAAGGGGAUUUAAUUGUCAAUUUUUUGUGUUUUUAUUUUGAUACAAAAUUAUAAAGGUGUAUCAAAGGGUAUAUUAGUACUUUUAUAUCAAUUUUGGGUUAUAAUUAUCAUAAACCUAAAAUGGUGGCUAUAAUUCUAUAUGGGAUCCAAAAUUUGGUUACUUUUCCAAAUAGAAGUUGAUGAUGGGUAAUCACUUAAGCGACGUGCUAAUUUUUAUUAGUGACAAAUUAUUUAGUUUGCAAAUUUUAUUUAUAUAUUUAAUCUCUUUAGCAUUACACUUUGAAAUUCUUGGGAGACUAAAUUUGAAGAUAAAAUUUGUAAACUAAUGAUUGAAUUAUUACUUAAGCGUUGAUAAACAUACUCAUUUACUAUUGAUAACAUAUCAUUUAGUUUGCAAAUUUAAUAUCUCUAACAUUACUUCACCAUUAAUUAUGCAUACGCACAUUUUUAGUGUGCCGUCCCACCAGUUUCCACUAUAAAAACAUUGCAAUCCCAUUUCCUUCUUAAUUGCAAAGUGGAAAGGAAAACCAAUUCAACCACGGCUUCAUCUCCCUUACCACCAACUUCUACAAUGGCCGCCCUGCCAUCCACCAUAACCACCAUCUUCCGCUCUCCUUUAUUCCUAAACAAGUCCUAGACUUCACUGCAACGAAAACCCAAACAAUCCCUUGCGAGCAGAGUGCGCUGCAAAGCAACAAAAGGUGACAAUGAUAACCUAGACUAGGGCCUAGCAAGACUCGACAGGAGGAACAUGCUAAUAGGUUUAAGCAUCGGGGGUUUCUACGGUGUGGCAUGAAACCCAUUUGCUUUUGCCACACCAGUAUCUGCCUCAGACCUGACCAUGUGUGGCCCUGCCGACAAGCCAGACGGGUCCACCAUCGAUUGUUGCCCACCUACCACCACGACCAUCAUCGACUUCGAACUCACUGACUCAGGCCCACUUUGCACUAGGCCCGCUGCCCAGGACGUUGCAAAUGACCCUGAAUACUUGGCCAAAUACAAAAAGGCCGUCGAGCUAAUGCGGGCACUUCCAGACGACGACCCGUGCAGUCACGCCCAACAGGCCAUGGUACACUGCUCCUACUAUGACGGUGGAUACCCACAAGUCGGAUAUUUGGAUUUGGAGAUCCAAGUUCACUAUUGUUGGCUCUUCUUCCCGUUCCAUCGUAAGUACCUCUACUUCUACGAGAAAAUCAUGGGCGAGCUCAUUGGGGACCCAACGUUCGCCAUCCCCUUCUAGAACUGGGACGCGGCAGCUGGCAUGUACAUUCAUGAGAUUUUCACUAAUACGUCGUCAUCCCUCUACGACAAGUACAGAAAUGCAGCACAUCAGCCCCCGAAGCUCCUGGACUUGAAUUACAGCGGGACCGACGAUGACGUUGACGACGUGACACAAAUCAUAGAAAACUUAACAAUGAUGUACCAGCAAAUGGUGUCGAAGGCCACUUCUCACAGACUCUUCUACGGAGAGCCCUACAGCGCAGGGGACGACCCUAGCCUUGGCGCCAGAAACAUUGAGAGCAUUCCUUAUAACAAUAUUCACUUUUGGACUAGCGACCCAACCCAGACAAACGAGGAAGACAUGAGGGCCUUUUACUCUACGGGGAGGGAUCCGCUAUUUUACUCCAACCAUUCCAACGUGGACCACAUGUGGUCUAUAUAUAAAGAUAAGUUGGGGGGUACGGACAUAGAAAAGAUUGACUAGUUGGACACAGAGUUCUUGUUCUACGACGAGAAAAAGAAUCUCGUGCGCGUCAAGGUUCGGGACUCGCUUGACACGAAAAAACUCGGGUAUGUGUACGACAAGAAUGCCUCAAUUCCGUGGCUAGAGUUGAAGCCGACGGCUCAUAAGUCGACAAAUAAGAGAAAGGCCACUGUUUCAUCUUCUGAUCUUACUACAACGUUCCCUGUUACACUGUCGGAUACAAUCAGCGUCGAGGUGACGAGGCUGUCUGCGAUGAAGCGGACAGCUGCCCAGAAGAAGGCGCAUGACGAGGUGCUUGUGAUUAAAGGGAUUGAGUUUGCCUGGAAUGAGACUGUGAAGUUCGACGUGUAUGUGAAUAAUGACGCAGACUCGCUAGCCGAGAAAGACAAGUCGGAGUUUGCUGGGAGUUUUGUUCACGUGCCGCAUAAGCAUAAGAAAAAUAUUAAGAUGAACCUGCGGCUGAGCAUUACGAGCUUGUUGGAGGAAUGGGAUGCGGAGACAGACAUCAGUUUGGUGGUGACUUUGGUGCCAAAAGUUGGGAAGGGGCCAAUCACCAUCGAAGGGUUUAGCAUUGAGCUUAUUAAUACUACCUGAGUAUUCAUGUUAUUGUUGUUCUUGUUGUUGUUGUUGGGUUGGCUUAAUCGUGGUUUUCUAGCUAAUUAAUCUUAAACGUACGUAAUAUGCUCAUCUACUGCUUACGUGGCAGAUGAUGGUUGGUGUUCCUCGUGAAUAAAAGCACUAUUGUGUUUCAGUGUGUUUAUUUAUUGAAUAAAGAAUUGAUGGUGGAGUUUAAUCAUAGUUUUCCAGAAUUAUUGAUGGUAGAGUUCUUGAAAAAUUAAUGGACCGUAAUUGUGUGUAAAAUUGUUUAUAAAACUAGUACACUACUUUACUAUUAUUAUUAUUUGUGAUAAUGGAGAGGACUAACAAUUGAGUCAAAUUCUUGCGCAAAGAGAAAGAUAACAAACAUGUAAGCCAAAAAAGUGUAGGGGUAAAACCACAAUAAAGCUAAAUAUGUGGUAGCGACUAGCAUAAAAAGUUCUUUUUUUUUUUUUUUUGGAAGAAAGGUAAAUUUUAUAACAAAUAACUAUUUAGGGACUCUAACCUUCACCUUUAAGUACUCAUUUAAGUACUUAACUGAAAUCUUUAUCUUCUUAAAGGAAUAUUGCCUCCAAUUGGAGCGUCUUAUAGUAGAAUUCUUAAAUUUGAAGUUUUUAUGAUUUUAUAUAAUAAUUUGAUUACGUGCACAUUUUUUGUUUAUAUUAACCUUUUAUAAUUAAUUAAAAGCUUCAAUCAAAAUUGUAGGCCCCGUUUUCAACUCAAGGUACACAUUUUUGCUUAGGGUAUUACUAGAUAGACUAAAUUUGUAGACGGAUGAGUAGACACAUCCGUCGCCUACAUACCGUUGAGAUGGCACUAUCAAAAUCCAGCUAAGGCAAGAAACUCCGUGUCGUGGCUGCUCCACUCUGCAAAGACAAAACUUUGUAAACUAAAUGACAUGGAAGUUGAUGAUUGAUUAUUACUUAAGCGUUGAUAAAAAUUCUCAUUUCUAUUAGCGAUACAUCAUUUGGUUUGCAAAUUUUGUCUAUAAAUUUAGUCUCCUUAGCAUUUCCUUUUGUGGGUAAUGCUAGGGAGAUUAAAUUUGUAAACAAAAUUUGCAAACAAAAUUUGCAAACCAAAUGAUGUGUCAUCAAUAGGAAUGAACACAUUUAUCAACGCUUAAGUAAUAAUCUAAUCAUCAACUUAUAUAUCAUUUAAUUUAUAAAAUUUUGUUUACAGAUUUAGUCUCUCUAGUAUUACCCAAAAUACAAAAUAUACAAUAUUUGACACCCAUAUUUCGUUGACUAUUCAUUAAAUCAAGUGAUUCAUCCAUCAACUUUUACAACCACCUUUCCCUUUACUGACUUAUUCUUUAUAUAGUCACUACCUAGGUUAUCUUGCAAGUUAACUACUAACAACUUUCUCUAACAGACUUAAGGUUCAUUUGGAAGUAUUUUUAAAAUGACUGAAAACGCUUUUGAUAAAAUUGAUUUUGGGUUCCAAAAGAACUUUAAAUGCUUUUUGAAGAAGCACAAAAUAUGUGCUUCUUGCAGGAAGCACAUAAAGUGUUUUUCCAUUAUCUACUUAGAUUUUUACUAAGGAUUGGUUUCAUAAAUAUUUUCACUUAAAGAGAUUUCAGUUAUUUAAAAAAAAAUCCAAACGAGCCCUUAUCCACUUAGCAACUAUCUGUUAUCCUAGUUAUAGCACUUCUACAUCUCUGAUUCAACAUGCUGAGUCAGCAAUUACAUAGAAUCCUAUCACAUGGCCAUGUCUCCUUUUUUGUGUCUCUCAUUGUAAUAACUCUUUUGAGAAUUCAACAAAAAAAAUGAUAUAUAUUGUAGCACUUAAAUGGUAACUGGUUAGUAAGUUAGAAUGACAUUAUAUUUAACAUGAAUUGUUUACCAGGGAAGGAAGCUUAUCUGUUAGUUUCUUUUUUCUUAGACCAUCUCUAACUGAAGUGACUAAAUAUAGCUCAGUUAAAAAUUAUAACCCUGCAAGAAAUUAUUUUCUAUGAACAAUGCCAAAUUAUAUUCAUUAUUCAUAUACCAUUUCCAACUAAAGUGACUAAACAUAACCAUACUAAAAUAAAAAUAUCUUUAAAUUUAUUAAACAUAACUUCCUCAAUAAUUUUUUUAUUUUAUGUGUUAUUUAAAUUUAUUAAUUAAUUUAAUUAAAGUACUACAACUUAUACCAUAUUAAAGUAAAAAUAUCUUUUUCGGAUAUUAUCGCGAGACACAUGUCGAGCUCAUGGAACUAAUGUAACAACUAAAGCAUAUAUGUAUAUAUAAGAAUAUACAAUUUACAAGGACACAACAAAGACAAGAUUUGUAUUCAUUUCUGCCCGGAUGUGGUACUAAUUAAUUCCAAAAUCAAAACCAUACUCAUACAUACAAAGCCUUAGUUUUUACAAGAUUUUCUUCGGACCGGAUUAUUUACAAGGGUCACAACAAAAGAAAAAAAAUCUUCUUUUUUUUUUUUGGUAUUGCAAAAACAGUGCUAUUUACAAGGAAAUUAGGGUUUCAGUUAUGUUGGGGACCUUCAGACUCGAUUUCUUUAGCCAGUUCUUUUGUGAGCAUGUCAGCCCGGUCAUCAUGUCCACCAGCGAAUGUGUAAACCCUAAAAGCAAACUGAAAAGCCUUCCGCUGCAUUUUCACACAAAUCUUUUGUUUGCUUCUGAUCAGUUUUUGUUCCAGUCUUACCUGCGGCCUUUGCUUCUCUCCUUUCCUGCAUCAUUUAACAUUUCAAAGUCAAAACUCCCUUUUCAAAUCAUUGUUAUUUGUUUUUUAAAGUAGUUAAUUCUGAGUACUAACCUUUAGUGCCAUCUCCAUGCAGCUUGAGGAGACAUCCACCAUGGCUUCUUUGAUCCGGAUGAGGAUAUUAAAGUCGAAAUGGAUAUUCUGGCUCUGAAACUUCUUGGCUUCGUCGUCUUCAGUUCGUUCCAUCGUGUCUAUUUCUCCUUUUAUCUGUGUAUUACCUUUUUUUAUUAGUUAUGGAAAAUGGAAAGAGACAAUUAAGUUUUUUUAUAUAAGAAACGAUAGUGAAGACAAUUAAGUAAGCAGAGAUUAUAUUCACAUACCCCAAAUUAUUUCUCCCACAUCCUUUUAAAAUUUUUAAUAUUUUCUCACACCCACUAACACUUCCCACUAACACUUGAUAGAAAAAUAUUAAAAAAUUAAAAGGGUGUGAGAAAAGUAAUAGUAGUAAGUUUUUUAUAUAAGAAACGAUAGUGGAGACAAUUAAGUAAGUAAGAUUGUAUAAAAUGAACAUUUGUGCACCUUUAUCAAAGUAGCGUUCGGCCUUGUCAAGGAGCUGACCCAAUGGAACCACUAGUUUCCAGUUUUGUAGUUCAUUGAGCAUUGUAUUUAAAUUUGUGUGUAGUGCUGCUGCCAUCCUUAUUGCUUCCAACUUCUUUGUUGGGAACCCUUCAAACCUGGAGAGUACCUGCAAUUCAGAAAACGGCAUGUCACAAAACACGAUUAUGAAGUGAUCAUAGAAUUAGAAUGGAAAUGAACAAAACUAAAGCGGACAAUUAAUGGUAUUGACCUGUGACUCAUCAGUCAAGUGUUCAAGGACGGAUUCGACUUUCUUGUGAAACUGCAUCAACCCAUUCAUGUCUUUUGUUUUGAAAGAACCAUGAUUAAAUUCGGGCUGGGUCAAACUUAAUACAGAUGGUAGUGUAAGGGGAAUUGCGGGUAUUGCCACAGGAGGGGGUUUGCUUAGGGAUGACAGUGGAAGAUGGAUCAUGGGCUUUGGACUCAAUAUAGGAGGAGUAUGCCCUGUGACCGCAGCAGAACUUUGGGCUUUAUACCAUGGGCUGGAACUGGCCUGGGCUGAAGGCCUCAGGAAAAUCUCAGUGGCCGUGGAUUCCACCGCUUUGUAGAUUCUCCUUUCGGUAAAACCACUCAUUUCUUUUCCUUGUCGAAGCCAUUCUCUUCUUAUCUCAUUUCCGUGAUAGGCUUUGCAUACUUCUGAACAUCUUCUUCAGUUUGUUGAAAGUAUGCUGAUCUGAGACACAAAAAUUAGAAACAUUAUAUGCAUGGUUUUCGCAUUAUUUUGAGUACUUAGAUUACUUAUCCAUACAAUAAAUACCUCUUUGUAAUCUCUGCUAGAGCAUCAGCCAUUCCUUGUUUUCCACCAGAGCUGCUUCCAAUUCCACUCUUUCUCCCGUUGGAUGCCUUGCCAUCCAAGCUAGAUCCUUUCACCUUUCUCUUGAGAAGACGGUAGAGACUACCCAUCUGAGGUGAUCUCUUCAGUUAGUGUCUGUCUUGUGGCGCAAGGAUCUUCCUGUGCCGAGUGCGGGAGGUGGGGGUGGAGCAGCUCCAUUUGAUGGGCCUUUUAUCAUGGGUGGUGGCUGUGGAGGACCUCCAUUUGAUGAUCCUGGUGGAGGUGGUGGGGGUGGAGGACAGCCAAUUGACGGUCCUGGUGGAGGUGGUGGUGCUGGAGCUCCAUUUGAUGAUCCUGGCGGAGGUGAGAGUAGGGGUGGAACGACUUUUGUUGACCUUGGUAUCACUGGUGUUGGUGGAGGGGUUGGAUUUACUGACACUGGUCCUGGUUCCAUUGGUAGAGGCGGUGGGGGUGGUGGCCCCCUAACUGCUACUACAUUAUGUGGGGUUAAUGUUGGUGGUGGUGGAGUUGCUGUAACUUGUGGCCGCAUGGCGGGUAGUGAUGGUGGUGGCGGCGGUGGUGUUGCAACAUUUAGCUUCAAAGUGUGUAGUGGUGGUGGUGGAGGGGAUGUUGGUAUUCUUGUUGCUGUUUCUGUAUUGGACAGUGAAAGUUGUUGCGUUGGUGGAGGUGGAGGUGGAUGCGGAGGCGGAGGCGGAGGUGCUGAUUUUGGUUGUGGAAGUGUAGGUGAGGGUGAAAGCAAUGAUGCUCCUGUGGUGUCUGCUUCCAAUGCUUCAGAGGCCGUGGUUGGAGUUUCAACAUCAUCACUUGUGUUGUCGAUACCCUGUCCACUAGACUUCUCAUCCAAACUAAGAUUUGGGGCUACUACUUCCUCAUCUCAUCUGUUGCUGCAAUUGUCUUUUGAGGGUUGCUCUCUAAUUCUGUCCCAAUUGGUGGGUCUUCAAACAAAUUUUCAAUCUUGUCCAGGCCAUUGUUGGUACCAUGAGCUCCUUGUUUUGAUAAGUGAAGAGACAAGUUCUUAACAUCAAUCGGAUUUAGCUUCCCAACUGCUUGCACUCUCAGAGUCCAAAGUAAUGGUGAUUUGGAACCAAUGUUGGCCUUCUUUCGUGCUCUCGGAGAACCAUCAAUCUCGGGUAGGACAGAAGAUGGAGUGAUCGGAGAAGGACAGGUGGAACCUGAGGCGUAGCUCUCCGAAUCGCUCAAGAACUUCCCAAAUGAGCAAUUCCGAGGGCUGUAAUCUUCUCUUUUCUGGCCAUCCUCAUCCAUCAUAUCAAACUUGUCCAGUGCCAUCUUCAUCAAGCAAUCAAACGUUUCCAGCACCGUCUCAACUACAAAAUCGUAUAGAGAAUCAGCCUUAACUUAAAAUUUCACAAAUGGAAAUAACAAUUAGGCUGUUGCUUCCAUUUCCAAAUGGGAGGCCUCGACUAGUCCUCGAGAAAAAUUUGUAGCAUACCGAGUUCAUCCUGAUUGACAUUCUCCUUGGGUGAUGGGAAAUCAUAUCUCGGUUUGUCCAACCUGUCAUAACUUGUCAUCCAAGACUCUCCAAUAGAUUUCAAUGCCUUGCAGAAGGAGGCCAUGACCUGAUUGUGGAUGUUUAAUUUGAGAAAUUAGCUUAAUGGUCUCGAGUAUAAUUACAUAUGCGUACUAAGCCAUUUCUUAUGGAUCUUAAAUCCUUAAUUACCUUCUCUGUACAUGCUUCCUUUAUCUCCGACAAUUGUUUAUGCAGCACAAUUUCAGGGAAAAGCUUCUGUAGAUCUCCCAUCAACCUCAUUACCAUCUGCAAGCAGAAAAUAAUUGGAAAAUUAAACAAAUUGUGUUUUAAUCCUGAAAUUGAAGUACAAGAUUUCAACGGGAAAAAAGGAAAUGUUAUUAGCAAUCCAAAAAAUUCAUUCUGCGCUCCAUCUUUUAAUCUUCAUUAGGGAAGAGUGUACUAUAACAUGUUUAGAGUUCCUAUAAAAGCGCUUUGGAAAAAAUAAAAAAGGGGGCACAUACCUCAGUUAUUGCAGCAGAAGCAUCACAUGCUGGUAGGUCGAUGAUGCCUCUAAAGAUGGUGAUCUUCUUCCGGAGCUCAGUCAUCCGAACCUCAUUGGCUGAAUCUCCGCAAGACCUAUCUUUUGGCAUGCCUCCUCUCCUAGAAGCAUUCUUCUGUUUCACAGGCAGACUCUUGGUUGGCCCCCUUGGAGUCUUUCAUUGCCAGAAAGAACAACUCUAUUCAUGUUAACCAUUUUCUAGUCUACACCUUAUUGUGAAUCGAUUCAUUUUCAGUGAUUAUUUAUUUUAUGAACCUUAAUCAAAGAUUUAUGGCUGCAUUCAACAAACUUAAUCUAGACAAGAAACAAUGCUGCCAUGUUUCCAUUUAUAUAGAUUAUUAGCAUGCCUAGAUGUAGAUGGUCAGUUUUUACUCGACCUCAUCCUCAAUGUGACUAGGAUUCUCUCCAUUCCUCUUUCCAUCCUCUUUCAUCUCCUCCUCUUACAUUCUCUUACAUUCUCUUUCUCUUGCUAUAAAAAAUUAAUAUAAGAUGUUAACAUGGUUUAAUUGUGACCGUUCAAAUAGAAGAUGAGGGAAAAAAAUAAGGAAGAGAAUCCUACUCCCCUCAAUGGUGCUAUGAAUAAUAUGAAGUUUAAAAUAAUAAAGUUUUGUGAAAAAUUCUUGGUGACAGCCAAAUCGUAUAGAACAGAACCAAAUGCGCCCUCUGUGUGAAAUACAUUUUCAAAUAUGAACCACGGCUUUUUUCUUCUUCUUUCUUUUUCGAAAUAUAGCAACGGAUUUUCUUAGGAUACUCCUACAAUUCAUCUUUAGAAGAGACUAGUCAUUUAAAUUGAAGAAGCUAAAUCUGGAAAAGGACAAAAAAAGAAGGGGGCUGCAAAUCGAAGAAGCUGAAAAGAAAAGGAAAAAAGGCGUUAAGGGAGUAGCCAAAUAGCUUCGAAAGCAAUUCAAUAGUUGAUAACAACCCAUUUAAAUUGAACCCAAGAAGCUUCUACCAUUUAAAAUUCAACAAAACACAAUCUAUACAGUCGGAAAAAAACAAAAAAACGAUUCCAUAAGAUUCAGGAAAAAGAAUAAAAAUUAUAUACCUUGUUGAUAAAGAAAGAGCUUGCAAAGCUGCAGAUAAAAACUGGAAAAUUCGAGCAACAACUUUUGCUGCAACUAAAAAUCAAAGCAGUUCAGAAAAGUACACCCAAAGCUUGAAAAAAAUUAAAUCACACACAAUCAGAAAAAUAGAAAACUCACCAGUAAACGUUUGAUCGUAUUGUUAACUUUUCCUGAAAUCAAAAAUCAAAACACAUAAGAGAACUCACCACAAUCCAUAUAGUUGCAUAAAAAACUUGUAGAUGCAAGAUUAGAAGAACUCACCACAAAACUAUCCACUUUGAGACCAGCAGAGGCGAAGAGAGGGGAGAGCAAACGGCUACGGAAGAAGCGAAGCAAGAGAAGUGGGAAAAAAAUUGGGGAAUCAUUGCAGAAAGAAGAAAAGGAACCGGACAAAAAUGUUGAAGGGCAAAGUUGAAAUAACAAAAACGAAGCAAGGGCAUUUGGUCCGCACACUGCCCUAGAACAGUGGCACACGAGUUUGUAAUUUUAGUGGUGUUUACUCUGAAUCAAUACUUACCACGUGAUUAGAAAGUGAUUUGUUCAUCUAAUAUAAACUUGUCACAUGAUAAAAUAAUUGUACAAAAGAAUCUCUCUUUUCAUCGAGACCGGAAUUAUUGAAUUAUGAUAGGAAAAUUCUACGCAUGCUUUGAAACACAUCAAUCAGUCUAUACUAUUAACCACGUAUUUCUUCAUUGUUGGGGAAAUUCUACGUAGCAUGUUUUUCAUGAUUACAUUAUCUUUAACAUUCGUAAACAAAAUAGAGGUCUAGAUUCGCAGACUCGAUGCCUACCUAUUAUUUUUCAUUGAUUAUUGGUCAUGCUACUAGCUGACUAGGAAGAUCGACUCUCCCUUACUGUUAUUAAAAUUUCGAAAUUUUCUAAUUCUCAUUUGUUUUUGUUGCAUAAGGUUUUUUUUUUUUUGGUUAAUUGUUGCAUAAGUAAUUUGGCAUGUAUUUUUUAACAAUGUUGGAUGAGAAAUCUAAUGGUUUAAGAAUUAUAAAUAAGAAUUUAAAAAACAUUUAGUGACAUUAAAAAAAGUAUUUCUUUGUAAUUUUAGUGGUGUUUACUUUGAAUCAAUAUUUACCACGUGAUUAGAAAGUGAUUUAUUUAUCUAAUAUAAACUUGUCACAUGAUAAAAUAAUUGUACGAAAGAAUCUCUCUUUUCAUCGAGACCGGAAUUAUUGAAUUUAUGAGAUUUAAUUGCAAUGUGUCCAUUUUAUGUGCGGUAGUUGUUGAUUUUUGCGCGGCGGGUUCGAAUCAUAUAAACCUAUAAAUAAAGAUUAAAUUGCAAUGUUUGUAUGACAUUUAAAUUAGUCUGGACUUGUAGUUUAGAAGUAAUGUUUCUAACAUGGUGUAUGAAACUUAAAUAUCCCAUAUAUUUUUUUCAUCCACUGUAUAAAAAAUGAAAAUACAUGUGUUAAUCACUUAUACAAUACAUCCAAACGAGAAUAAGAAAAUUUCAGAAUUUGAAUAAAAAAUUAUGGGAGAGUCAAUAUGCACAUGAUUUUUGCUUUAGUACCGUGGGAUAAUAGCUUACCGUAAGCAAAAACACAAAAUAUAAAUUAUAAAUAUAAUAGAAGGAUAACUGGAAUCGCUCCGGGGGUCUCUCACCCGUCCUUGACCUCUUACCAAGAAUUUUGGCUUCUAUCCCAUCCCAGGGCUAGAAUUUUAAUCUCUGGAAGGCAAAGCUUUUCUAUUCAACUCUUCAUUGUUUGUUAAUCUGAAUUACAAGGGAUGUUUAUAAAGCCUAAAAAUGACCGCAUGAAGGUAAACUUAUUAUAGUAAAGAAAUCCUAAUCCAAAAUAAAAUAGGACACUAUAUCUAAUCCUAAUUAAACUGGAAAGAAUUAUAGAGCUCGUUGGAAGUGAUUUUAAAAGCUGAUAGUGUUUUUGGUGAAAAUGAUUUAGGAACCAAUGCUUAGUAAAAAUGCAAGUAAAUUCUAAAAAAAAAACACUUAGUGUUUCCUUAAAAAAACAUAUAACCGGUGGUUCUUAUAAUAAGCACUUCAAGUGCUUUUGAAAUCCAAAAAUAUUUUAUCUAAAAACGUUUUUAAUCAUUUUAAAAGUACUUUGAAAUCAACCUUUAAUUCUUAUAAACUAAGCAAUCAUAAAACUACCCCCUAGAUAUUAAAAUACUAAGGACUAAAGACUAAAAAGGCUAAAAUACCCUUUAAUUUAGGAAGUCACCACUCUUGUUCCACGUGACUUAGCUAUUACUAAUUUACUAUCACCAGUAAUUGAUGAAAGAUAACAUCAAAAUAGAGAGGCAUAUAGAGUCAGCAAAUCUAGAACCUCUCUUUUUCAUGCAAAUUUUCCUCAUCGACGAAGAAAAAUGUGCUAUAUAUUUUUUAUUCAUGUGUUUCAAAAGUGGAUGGUCUCUUCCGUAAGGUGGUGAACUUAAAGAAAUUUGAGGUUGUAUUGUAAAAUUAAUUAGUAAAUAGAGAGUGGUUUAAUUCUUUAUAAGCUCUUGUAUGAUUUGAUUUCUCACCGAUGUGAGACUUUGUCUUUACAUUCUUACACUAUUCUCGCACGUGGCAAAUUUUAAAACCUAACAUGCGGACAAUACAAAUUGGGUGACGUGGAACAUGUGUAGCCAUUGGACUUCACACGUGGGCUAAUAUGAAGAUUAGUCUAACUCUUCAUAAGCCCUUGCAUGAUUUGGUUAAUCACUGAUGUGGGACUUUGUUCUCACAUUCUCACACGCUCCAUCAUGUGUGGCGAAUAUUCAAACCUAACAUAUGAACAAUACAUAAAAUCUCAAUUUUCUACAAAGUAUCAGAGUUGGUUGAAUCAGAUGUUUAAUUAUUCUUUCGUAGUAUGAAGUCAAUUGAACUACGUGUUUGAUAUGUAAGGAUGUAAAUGUUGAUCCACAUCAAAAAGUUAAGAGACCGUUUACGAUUUUAAUUUGUCCUGAAAGAUGCAUUUCACCACUUGAUGUAGCUCGUAUGGGAAGCCUAACUUUUUUUUUUUUUUUUUUUUUUUUUCUCGCAAUAUAGAUUGUUAACUUUUUCUUUUAAUUUGAGGGAUUCUCCUUGUCUUAAUGAUGUUGACAUCAGAGUGGUAUGGUUCAUGAAUCUUGACUAAGAAAACCCUGCAUUCAUACACACAUUUUUAGUGUGCGGUCCCGCCAAUUUCAACUAUAAAAACAUCACAAUCCCCUUUCCUUCUUAAUUGCAGAGUGGAAAGGAAAACCAAUUCAGCCAUGUCUUCAUCUCCCUUACCAACUUCUACAAUGGCCACCCUGCACUCCACCACAACCACCCUCUUCCGCUCUCCUUUAUUCCCAAACAAGUCCCAGACUCCACUGCAACGAAAACCCAAACAAUGCCUUGCGGGUAGAGUGCGCUGCAAAACAACAAAAGGUGACAAUGAUAACCUAGAUCAGGGCCUAGCAAGACUCGACAGGAGGAACAUGCUGAUAGGUUUAGGCGCCGGGGGUCUCUACGGUGCGGUAGGAAACCCAUUUGCUUUUGCCGCACCAGUAUCCGCCCCAGACUUGACCACGUGUGGCCCUGCCAACAAGCCAGACGGGUCCACCAUCGAUUGUUGCCCACCUACCACCACGACCAUCAUCGACUUUGAACUCCCUGACUCAGGCCCACUCCGCACUAGGCCCGCUGCUCAGGACGUUGCAAAUGACCCUGAAUACUUGGCCAAAUACAAAAAGGCCGUCGAGCUGAUGCGGGCACUUCCAGACGACGACCCGCGCAGUCACGCACAACAGGCGAUGGUACACUGCUCAUACUGCGACGGUGGAUACCCACAAGUCGGAUAUUCGGAUUUGGAGAUCCAAGUUCACUAUUGUUGGCUCUUCUUCCCGUUCCAUCGUUGGUACCUCUAUUUCUACGAGAAAAUCAUGGGCGAGCUCAUUGGGGACCCAACCUUCGCCCUUCCGUUCUGGAAUUGGGACGCGCCAGCUGGCAUGUACAUUCCUGAGAUUUUCAUUGAUACGUCAUCAUCCCUCUACGACCAGUACAGAAAUGCAGCGCAUCAGCCCCCAAAGCUCCUGGACUUGAAUUAUGGCGGGACUGACGAUGACGUCGAUGACGCGACACGAAUCAAAGAAAACCUAACAACGAUGUACAAGCAGAUGGUGUCGAAUGCCACUUCUCACAGACUCUUCUACGGAGAGCCCUAUAGCGCAGGGGACGAACCAAGUCCUGGUGCCGGAAACAUUGAGACCACUCCCCAUAACAAUAUUCACCUUUGGGCUGGUGACCCAACCCAGACAAACGGGGAGGACAUGGGGACAUUUUACUCUGCGGCGAGGGAUCCGCUGUUUUACUCUCACCAUUCCAACGUGGACCGCAUGUGGUCUAUAUAUAAAGAUAAGUUGGGUGGUACGGACAUAGAAAAUACCGAUUGGCUGGACGCAGAGUUCUUGUUUUACGACGAGAAAAAGAAUCUCGUGCGCGUCAAGGUUCGGGACUCGCUCGACACGAAAAAACUCGGGUAUGUGUACGACGAGAAUGUCUCGAUCCCAUGGCUGGAGUCAAAGCCGACGACUCGUAAGUCAACAAAUAAGAGAAAGGCUGCGGUUUCAUCUUCUGAUCUUUCUACAACGUUCCCUGCUACACUAUCAGAUAUAAUCAGCGUCGAGGUGACGAGGCCGUCUACGACGAAACGGACAGCUGCCCAGAAGAAGGCGCAGGAGGUGCUGGUGAUUAAGGGGAUUGAGUUUGCCGGGAAUGAAACUGUGAAGUUCGACGUGUAUGUGAACGAUGAUGCGGACUCACUGGCCGGGAAAGACAAGUCGGAGUUUGCUGGGAGUUUUGUUCACGUGCCGCAUAAGCAUAAGAAGAAUAUUAAGACAAACCUGCGGCUGAGCAUUACAAGCUUGUUGGAAGAGUUGGAUGCGGAGACAGACAACAGUUUGGUAGUGACUUUGGUGCCGAAAGUUGGGAAGGGGCCAAUCACCAUCGGAGGGUUUAGCAUUGAGCUCAUUAAUACUACCUGAGUAUUAAUUAAUGUUAUUGUUGGUUCUUCUUGUUGUUGUUGGGUUGGCUUAAUCAUGUUUUUCUAGCUAAUUACUCCUGAACGUUCGUAAUGUGCUCAUCUACUGCUUAUGUGGCAGAUGAUGGUUGGUGUUCCUCGUGAAUAAAAGCACUAUUGUGUUUCGGUGUGUUUAUUUAUUGAAUAAAGAAUUGAUGGUAGAGUUUAAUCAUAAUUUUCUAGAACUAAUGAUGGUACACUACUUUAAUAUUAUUGUUAUUUGUGAUAAUGGAGGACUGACAAUUGAGUCAUAAUCUUGCGCAAAGAGAAAAGAUAACAAACAUGUAAGCCAAAAAAGUGUAGGGGUAAAACAACUAUAAAGCUAAAUAUGUGGUAGUGACUAGCAUAAAAAGUUUUUUUAUUUUUUAUUUUUGGAAGAAAGGUAAAUUUUAUAACAAAGAACACUAACUUACAUAGAAAAUACCCACAUACAAAUAGAUACAAAGCAAAAAUGGACCUCCCAAGCUAACCAAAAAGGGCCCAACCAAGAGGCCCAAACCAAAAACAAAUCGAAAGAAAAUUCGAGAAGCCUGCUACCACUGCUGCAACAUUGCGUCACGAUCAACCUGAUUCGGCUCCCCCAAUAGACACCUAAAACCCAACCAUGCAGCAACACACUCAUUUUCGGUGUGAUGUAAUCGAAUCCAACGUGAUACAACCCUUACGCGGCUGCUUACUCAAUGUAACAGUAACUGGUAUAUUUCAUUACAAUAUCAACUUUUACAACAACCUUUCCUUUUACAGACUUAUUCUUUAUAUAGUCACUACCUAGCUUAUCCUGCAAGUUAACUACUAACAACCUUCUCUAACAGACUUAAGGCUCGUUUGGAAGUACUUAAAAAUGACAAAAAACGUUUUUGGUACAAUUGAUUUUGGGUUUCAAAAGCACUUUAAGUGCUUUUUGAAGAAGCACCAGAUAUGCGCUUCUUGCAAGAAGCGCAUAAAGUGAUUUUUCAUGAUCCACUUAGAUUUUUACUAAGGAUUGGUUUCAUAAACAUUUUCACUAAAAACGCUUUCAAUCAUUUAAAAAACACUAUCAAACAAGCCCUUAUCCACUUAGCAACUAUCUGUUACCCUAGUUAGCCCAUCCACUUCACUGAUUCUAUAUGCUGAGUCAGCAAUUACAUAGAAUCCUAUUAUAGAGCCAAGAUAUGCUGUCUCCUUUUUUGUGUCUCUCAUUGUAGUAACUCUUUGAGAAUCAAUAAAAAAAUGAUAUAUAUUGUAGCACUUAAAUGGUAACUGGUUAGUAAGUUAGAAUGACAUUAUAUUUAACGUGAAUUAUUUACCAGGAAGAGAAGCUUCUCUGUUAGUUUCUUUUUUCUUAAGCCUCUCUAACUGAAGUGGCUAAGUAUAGCCCAGUUCAAAAUUAUAACCCUCCAAGAAAUUAUUUUUUAUUAACAGUAUCAGAUCAUAUUCAUUAUUCAUAUACCAUUUCCAACCAAAACGGCUAAACAUAACUCUUUCAAUAAUUUAUUAAUUUUAUGUUUUCUUUAAAUUUAUUAAAAAAAUAUCUUUUUCGGAUAUAAUCGCGAGACACAUGUCAAGCUCAUGGAACUAAUGUAACAACUAAUACAUAUAUGUAUAUAUAAGAAAAUACAAUUUACAAGGACACAACAAAGACAAGAUCGUAUUCAUUUGCCUGGAUGUGGUACUAAUUAAUUCCAAAAUCAAAACCAUACUCAUACAUACAAAGCCUAAUUUUUUACAAGAUUUCUUUGGACCGGAUUAUUUACAAAGGUCACAACAAAAGAAUAAAAAUCUUUUUUUUUUUUGGUAUUGCAAAAACAGUGCUAUUUACAAGGAAAUUAGGGUUUCAGUUGUGUUGGGGACCAUCAGACUCGAUUUCAUUAGCCAGUUCUUUUGUGAGCAUGUCAGCCCGAUCAUCAUGUCCACCAGCGAAUGUGUAAACCCUAAAAGCAAACUGAAAAGCCUUCCACAGCAUUUUCACACAAAUCUUUGUUUGCUUCUGAUCAGUUUUUGUUCCAGUCUUACCUGCGGCCUUUGCUUCUCUCCUUUCCUGCAUCAUUUAACAUUUCAAAGUCAAACUCUCUUUUUCAAAUCAUUGUUAUUUGUUUUUUAAAGUAGUUAAUUCUGAGUACUAACCUUUAGUGCCAUCUCCAUGCAGCUUGAGGAGACAUCCACCAUGGCUUCUUUGAUCCGGAUGAGGAUAUUAAAGUCGAAAUGGAUAUUCUGGCUCUGAAACUUCUUGGCUUCGUCGUCUUUAGUUCGUUCCAUCGUGUCUAUUUUCCCUUUUAUCUGUGUAUUACCUUUUUUUAUUAGUUAUGGAAAAUGGAAAGAGACAAUUAAGUAAGUUUUUUAUAUAUAUAAGAAAUGAUAGUGAAGACAACUAAGUAAGGAGAGAUUAUAUUCACACACCCCAAAUUAUUUCUCCUACACUCUUUUAAUUUUUUUAAUAUUUUCUACACACCACUAACUCUUGAUAUAAAAAUAUUAAAAAAUUAAAAGAGCGUGGGGAAAGUAAUAGUAGUAAGUUUUUUAUAUAAGAAACGAUAGUGAAGACAAUUAAGUAAGAUUGUAUAAAUGAACAUUUGUGCACCUUAUCGAAGCAGCGUUCGGCCUUGUCAAGGAGCUGACCCAAUGGAACCACUAGUUUCCAGUUUUGUAGUUCAUUGAGCAUUGUAUUUAAAUUUGUGUGUAAUGCUGCUGCCAUCCUGAUUGCUUCCAACUUCUUUGUUGGGAACCCUUCAAACCGUGAGAGCACCUGCAAUUCAGAAAAUGGCGUGUCACAAAACACGAUUAUGAAGUGAUCAUAGAAUUAGAAUGGAAACGAACAAAAAUAAAGCGGACAAUUAAUGGUAUUGACCUGUGACUCAUCAGUCAAGUGUUCAAGGACGGAUUCGACUUUCUUGUGAAACUGCAUCAACUCAUUCAUGUCUUUUGUUUUGAAAGAACCAAGGGUGGUUCUCAUUUCCAUGAUAGGCUUCGCAUACUUCUGAACAUCUUCUUCAAUUUGUUGAAAGUAUGCUGAUCUGAGACACAAAAAUUAGAAACAUUAUAUGCAUGGUUUUCGCAUUAUUUUGAGUACUUAUUAGAAACAUUAUAUGCAUGGUUUUCGCAUUAUUUUGAGUACUUAGAUUACUUAUCCAUACUAUAAGGACCUCUUUGUAAUCUCUGCUAGAGCAUCAGCCAUUCCUUGUUUUCCACCAGAGCUGCUUCCAAUUCCACCCUUUCUCCCAUUGGAUGCCUUGCCAUCCAAGCUAGAUCCUUCCACCUUUCUCUUGAGAAGGCGGUAGAGACUACCCAUCUGAGGUGAUCUCUUCAGCUUAGUGUCUUUCUUGGGGCGCAAGGAUCUUCCUGUGCCGAGUGCGGGAGGUGGGGGUGGAGCAGCUCCAUUUGAUGGGCCUUUUUACAUGGGUGGUGGCGGUGGAGCACCUCCAUUUGAUGGCCCUUUUAACAUGGGUGGUGGGGGUGGAGGACUGCCAAUUGACGGUCCUGGUGGAGGUGGUGGUGCUGGAGCUCCAUUUGAUGAUCCUUGAGGAGGUGGGGGUAGGGGUGGAACCACUUUUGUUGACCUUGGUAUCACUGGUGUUGGUGGAGGGGUUAGAUUUACUGACACUGGCCCUGGUUCCAUUGGUUGAGGCGGUGGGGGUGGUGGCCCCCCAACUGCUGCUACAUUAUGUGGGGUUCAUGUUGGUGGUGGUGGAGGAGUUGCUGCAAUUUGUGGCUGCAUGGCGGGUAGUGAUGGUGAUGGCGGCAGUGGUGUUGCAACAUUUAGCUUCAAAGUGUGUAGUGGUGGUGGUGGAGGGAAUGUUGGUAUUCUUGUUGCUGCUUCUGUAUUGGGCAGUGAAAGUUGUUGCGUUGUUGGAGGUGGAGGUGGAGGUGGAGGUGGAGGCAGAGGCGCUGAUUUUGGUUGUGGAAGUGUAGGUGAGGGUGAAAGCAAUGAUACUCUGGUGUCUGCUUCCAAUGUUUCAGAGGCUGUGGUUGGAGUUUCAACAUCAUCACUUGUGUUGUCGAUACCCUUUCCACAAGACUUCUCAUUCAAACUAAGAUUUGGGGCUACUACUUCCUCAUCUGUUGCUGCAAUUGUCUUUUGAGUGGUUCUCUCUAAUUCUGUCCCAAUUGAUGGUUCUUCAAACAAAUUUUCAAUCUUGUCCAGACCAUUGUUGGUGCCAUGAGCUCCUUGUUUUGAUAAGUGAAGAGACAAGUUCUUAACAUCAAUCAGAUUUAGCUUCCCAACUGCUUGCACUCUCAGAGUCCAAAGCAAUGGUGAUUUGGAACCAAUGUUGGCUCUCUUUUGUGCUCUUGGAGAACCAUCAAUCUCGGGUAGGACAGAAGAUGGAGUGAUCGGAGAAGAACAGGUGGAACCUGAGGCGUAGCUCUCUGAAUCGCUCAAGAACUUCCCAAAUGAGCUAUUCCGAAGGCUGUAAUCUUCUCUUUUCUGGUCAUCCUCAUCCAUCAUAUCAAACUUGUCCCGUGCCAUCUUCAUCAAGCAAUCAAGCGUUUCCAGCACCGUCUCAACUACAAAAUCGUAGAGAGAACCAGCCUUAACUCAAAAUUUCACAGAAGGAAAUAACAGUUAGGUUGUUGCUUCCAUUUCCAAAUGGAAGGCCUCAACUAGUCCUAGAGAAAAAUUUGUAGCAUACCGAGUUCAUCCUGAUUGACAUUCUCCUUGAGUGAUGGGAAAUCAUAUCUCGGUUUGUCCAACCUGUCAUAACUUGUCAUCCAAGACUCUCCAAUAGAUUUCAAUGCCUUGCAGAAGGAGGCAGGACCUGAAUGCCGUUGUUUAAUUUGAAAAAUUAGCAUAAUGGUCUCGAGUAUAAUUACAUAUGCGUACUAAGCUAUUUCUUAUGGAUCUUAAAUCCUUAAUUACCUUUUUUGUUCCAAAAAAAAUAAAAUUCCUUAUUUACCUUUUCUAUAGAUGCUUCCUCUAUUUCCGAUAAUUGUUUAUGCAGCACAAUUUCAGGGAAAAGCUUCUGUAGAUCUCCCAUCAACCUCAUUACCAUCUGCAAGCAGAAAAUAAUUGGAAAAUUAAAAAAAUUGUGUUUUAAUCCAGAAAUUUAAGCACAAGAUUUCAACAGAAAAAAGAGAAAUUUUAUUAGCAAUCCAAAAAAUUCAUUUUGCACUCCAUUUUUUAAUCUUCAUUAGGGAAAAGUACUAUAACAUUUUUAGAGUUCCUAUAAAAAAUAAAAAAAGGGACACAUACCUCAGUUAUUGCAGCAGAAGCAUCACAUGCUGGUAGGUCGAUGAUGUCUCUGAAGAUGGUGAUCUUCUUCCGGAGUUCGGUCAUCCGAAUCUCGUUGGCUGAAUCUCCGCAAGACCUAUCUUUUGGCACGCCUCUCCCAGAAGCGUUCUUCUGUUUCGCAGGCAGACUCUUAGCCCCCUUGGUGUCUUUCAUUGCCUGAAAGAACAACUCUAUUCAUGUUAAUUAACUAUUUUCUAGUCUAGACCUUAUUGUGAAUCGAUUCCUUUUCAGUGAUUAUUUAAUUUAUGAACCUUAAUCAAAGAUUUAUGGCUGCAUGCAACAAACUUAAUCUAGACAAGAAACAAUGCUGCCAUGUUUCCUUUUAUAUAGAUUAUUAGCAUGCCUAGAUGUAGAUGGUUAGUUUUUAUUAGCAGCUAGAUUUAAGGAUGAUGGGUCACAUAAAUCGGACAUGUUUAAGGAAUUAAACAUGGAAACACAAAACUGUACCUUAAUUCCAGAAGGUUUACGACGAAACAAUGGACUGAAACAGCUUCCGAUAGUCAUGGCUUGAACCUACGCUGAGAUUUGUAAUAGACUUGAACUGGGCAAAAGUGAUGGUGAUGAUGAUGAAAGAAUGACGAAGAAAACGACAACGACGAAGCCAAAGACGAUGGUGAUGAUGAUAAUAUUGUUAAAUGAUCAUACAAUUGGGUGUCAACCAUUACUAGCCAGCACACCCUUAAAGCUUAAUGUGGUUUUGAAAACAACUCCAGAAUGUAAAAAUUGUAAUGUGUUCAACAACAAGAAGAGAACUGUUCAAAAAAUUCAACUUAUUUGAAAAAGAAAAUGAGAUGAAGACACAAUUACGUGCGAGACACUUAGUUUUUUGUGUUAAUUAGUCUGUACAAGAAACUGGAAAAAUCCAUUUCUUUUCUUUCAGCCAGCCUUUGAACUUUCUCUGAAAAGAGAAGACAAGGAAAGACAAAAGGGCAAAUUCCCUUCUAUUAAGGAAGAUCUUCCAGUAGGCUGAAGCUGUAUCAGACCUAAAGUUUCCUCUUUUUUCUUUUUCCAUUUUUCUAUUUUAUUUUUAAUUAGGCGUUUUACUUAAUUAAUUAAUGAAUUACCUGUUUAGUUAUCUAAAUCGUGCAUGCAAUGAUUGCAGGAACUGGUCCUAGAUUUUUAUUGCUUGCAGCUAUUUAUAGAAUGAUACAGCUUCUCACUUGUGUAAGAUGAGGUUAUGGUUGCAAUACCGUUGUACCAGAAAAUUUUAAAUUUUCAAAUUUUAUCUUCUGUGUCGAUUAUCCAUUUAAACAAACUUGAUACCAUAAUAAACAAAUUGCAUUCUAAUCAAAAGUUUUGUUUGAAAAAGUCCAUAUUAUAAUAGUAACCCUACAUGAUUGAUGUUAAUGUCAUACCUAAAACUUUUUUCUAAUUUUACAGGAUGUAAAAAUAUAUAUUUUUUCGUUUAACUUUUCUAAGAGAGGUUUUUAAUUAAAAUAUUAUCUGAAAUAUCCAACACAUCUUACUAGGUCAAAAUAAAAAUAGAUAAAAGUCAAAUAAAUAGUAGCUAAGGUCUUGAUUACCUAUCACCUCCUGCAAAAUAGCUUGCUUAAAUGUAAAAUCUAAAAGUCUUGCUUACAUACAAAAGUUACUCCGUGACAGACAAAUACUACAAAAAGAUCACCCAAAAAACAUGGUGUUAUUAGUCAACGUUCAUACCUAAUACCCCAUUUGACGAUUAGAAAGUUGGAACCUGGACAAUUUCUAUCCGCUUCUUUUCACCAAAUUUGGGCAAUGAAGCCUUCAUAUACUAGGUCGUUUGCCUUGGUCAAACUGAGAGUCCCUGGUAGCCUGGGCAAUGAAGCCUUCAUAUGCUAGGUCGUUUGCCUUGGUCAAACUGAGAGUCCCUGGUAGCCUGGGCAAUGAAGCCUUCAUAUACUAGGUCGUUUGCCUUGGUCAAACUGAUAGUCCCUGGUAGCCUUUGCAAAGGAAGAUGAUAUUGUAAUUUCACCAUAUAUAAAGAGGGCCAAGUUUGUUCGUGUAGUUUGUAUAGAGUGUAGCUAUAAACACUUCAACCUAUUUGGUGAAAAAUCCAAGUGCGACCUUGGACUGCAUGGACAAGGGAAAUUCUAAAGUCCAAUUAGGGUUAUAUUUUCUUUGAGUUACGUAAUUAGGAAGACACUCACGUAGAAAUACUUGAAUUUAGAUGGCAACAACAUUCAAUAUAUGGAGAAGAAUAUAUAGACAUUGUGCAUCAGCCUAUCGUAUGGCAACAACAUUCAAUAUAUGGACAAAAAUGUUGAAGGGCAAAGUUGAAAUAACAAAAACGAAGCAAGGGCAUUUGGUCCGCACACUGCCCUAGAACAGUGGCACACGAGUUUGUAAUUUUAGUGGUGUUUACUCUGAAUCAAUACUUACCACGUGAUUAGAAAGUGAUUUGUUCAUCUAAUAUAAACUUGUCACAUGAUAAAAUAAUUGUACGAAAGAAUCCCUCUUUUCAUCGAGACCGGAAUUAUUGAAUUAUGAUAGGAAAAUUCUACGCAUGCUUUGAAACACAUCAAUCAGUCUAUAUUAUUAACCACAUAUUUCUUCAUCGAUGGAGAAAUUAUACGUAGCAUGCUUUUCACGACUACGUUAUCUUUAACAUUCGUAAACAAAACAGAGGUCUAGAUUCACAGACUCGAUGCCUACCUAUUAUUUUUCAUUGAUUAUUGGUCAUACUACUAGCUGACUAGGAAGAUCGACUCUCCCUUACUGUUAUUAAAAUUUCGAAAUUUUCUAAUUCUCAUUUGUUUUUGUUGCAUAAGGUUUUUUUUUUUUUUUGGUUAAUUGUUGCAUAAGUAAUUUGGCAUGUAUUUUUUAACAAUGUUGGAUGAGAAAUCUAAUGGUUUAAGAAUUAUAAAUAAGAAAUUAAAAAACAUUUGUGACAUUAAAAAAAAGUAUUUCUUUGUAAUUUUAGUGGUGUUUACUUUGAAUCAAUACUUACCACGUGAUUAGAAAGUGAUUUAUUUAUCUAAUAUAAACUUGUCACAUGAUAAAAUAAUGGAGAAAUUAGGUUCUCAUCCCUCUUUUGACUACUUCAUUGAUUAAAAUCUUAUUCCUUUUCAAUUUUUGAUCAAGGUCUUUGGGUAUUAAUAACAUCAUUAAUUAUUUCAAUAAUAAAAUAUUUUUUUUUAUUUCUAAAUAUAUUCAUUUAAUGUUAAAAAUGUUACAAUUAGUAUAUUUAUAUUUAUGACUAAGUUUUUUUAUCAGAUAUUUUUAGUUUUAGUUUGUACCCAUUUUUAAUUUGUAAUUCUUUUUUAAUUUGUACCAAUUUUCUUUUUAGUUUUAAUUUGUACCCAUAUAUUAAUUUCUUUUUGUGCCCAUAUUUUUUAAAGUUUAUUUGUAUUUGUACCCAUAUUUUUUUUUAUUUGUACUUUUUAUUUUGCUAAAUGUACUCGUGCUAAUUAUAUGCACCCAUUCAUAUAAAACUUUUAAAUCUAAAAAUGUACUCAUUCUUAAAUAUAUCAAUUUGUUAUAUGUAAAAUGUACCUUUUUUUUAUAUAAAAUCUAUUCAAUUUUUUUUAAUCCAUUUUUAAACUUAUAUGGGUACAUUAAUUCUUUUUUCUUUGAUUUUAAAAUGUAUCCAUGUCAAGUUUAAUCUAAGAAAUUUACUAAUGUUAUUAAGCCUAAUAUCUUCUCCUUCUUCUUUUUUUUUUUGUGAUUUUGAAGAAUGUACCCAUGUUUUGAUACAAUAAUUUUUUUGGAUAAUUUUGAUGAAUGUACCCAUGUUUAUAUAUACACACACACACACAAUAGUAUAUUUAUAUUUUAAUAUUUUUAAUCCCACAAAUUAUGGUUUUAUAUUUAAAAUCUCAUUUAUAUAAACCACUAAAUUUUCUAAUUUUUAAUUUAAAAAAUAUAGUAACGUACAUAGAAAUAAAUUAUCACAUUAAUUUCAGGGACGUCGAUCAAAAAUUAAAAACCAACAAGGUUUUAAUAAAAGAAUAUUCAUAGUUAAGGACCAUAUCCAAAGUUUCCCUAAAAUAAUUGUACAAAAGAAUCUCUCUUUUCAUCGAGACCGGAAUUAUUGAAUUUAUGAUAGGAAAAUUCUACCAUGCUUUGAAACACAUCAAUCAAUCUAUACUAUUAACCACAUAUUUCUUCAUCGAUGGGGAAAUUCUACGUAGCAUGCUUUUCACAAUUACAUUAUCUUUAACAUUCGUAAACAAAACAGAGGUCUAGAUUCGCAGACUCGAUGCCUACCUAUUAUUUUUCAUCGAUUAUUGGUCAUACUACUAGUUGACUAGGAAGAUCGACUCUCCUUUACUGUUAUUAAAAUUUCAAAAUUUUCUAAUUCUCAUUUGUUUUUGUUGCAUAAGGUUUUUUUUUUUGGUUAAUUGUUGCAUAAGUAAUUUGGCAUGUAUUUUUUAACAAUGUUGGAUGAGAAAUCUAAUGGUUUAAGAAUUAUAAAUAAGAAAUUAAAAAACAUUUAGUGACAUUAAAUAAAGUAUUUAUUUAUAAAACUAUUAAAUUCCUCUUUUCACAUUUUCCUUACUUGUUGUGUGUCUACUGUCUACAACCCAUUCGACCUUGAACCUAAUUUAAUUGUGUAUCAAAUGGCAGGUUGGUGUUUUUUGUAAAAUCGUAUUUGUCUAUUUUUCUUUACUAUAAAAAAAAUGUCUUAAUAGUUUAGAUAUUUUUUUUUUAAAGGAAACGAUAAGAGAUUAAUUGAUUGAAAACGUCAUUACAUGGUUUGAAGUACAAGAAGCCCCAUUAAGGCAGCACACAUUGUUCUAAUAGUAAGUCAGAAAUGAACAAAGGAGGAGACUCAGCACAUUCACACUCCUGGCUCAAAGAGAGACAAAACGUGCUAGCCUAUGGACAAUAGAGUUAGCUUGACGGUGAGUAUGGUAAGAAUAGCAUCAGUGCUUGAUGGGAGUAGCACCUUGAUAUCUGUCAUAAUUUGUUCAACUGAGAAUAGAUUGAUAGACGAUACGAUGUGGGUGGCAAAGUGUGUGUCAAAAAAUGGAUGUCCCAAGAUGCUAACGAUAUGACACACACUUUGUAGGGCUCAUUCCAUAACAUUUUUAAGAAUUUGAAUCAUCUAUAUUUCAAUUCAUCAUUCAUAUAUGUCCUUGCCAAAAAUUAAAAAGAUCCAAAAUCAUUAAAACAUUAAUUUGUAAGGAAGAAAAUACAGAUGGGCGUCACAACCCCCCCCCCCUCGUUGGUUCUUGUUCUGGCUCGAGAUGGGUUUCCUUGCCCCCUUGUAAUUAGGUUUUUUUUUUUUUUUUUGGAUGGCUUUGCGCCAUCCUUUUGUGCCUUUUGAGGCUUGAUUGUGAUUUCCUAUUUCUUCUGAGAGUUUAAAUGUAUUAAGUCCUUGAACAUAGGAUAUCAUGGUCUAUGUUUAGUUAUGUUUCUUGGAGUACUUGUUCUGUUUUAAUACAAUGACCUCUUUCUGAAUUAAAAAAAAAAAAAAAUUGACUUUGCCAAUUUUUCCCCAAUCAAACAUUUAACACACUUAACUGGCCUUCUACCAUAGUGAUGAAAGAAGUGUUACCUUUACACUACUACAUGAGUUCGAAUUCCGUUGGCUCUCUUAUUUAAUAAAUCUAUCUUUUGAUAUAUAAAAAAAUAAAAAAACUCAAAAUGCAAAUGAGUUGUGCAUCAUAGUAUUAGAUAAUGUUGUAUAAUUCAACAGACAACUGUUUUUUUUUUUUUGUUAUGAAAAAGCAAUAGAGAAUUAGGUAAAUACGAUGUAAAACAUUUCUACUCAAGAGGCAGAUUGUCUGCCCCUUGUUUGGAUGCCCUUUUUAUUCCCUCAUAUUUUAUGCGGUCACAGUUAAUACACGUCAAUAUUUUAUAUUAAUUUUUUUAUAGAGAUAAUAAGAUAAAAAACAAUAAGAAUAUAUAAUAUUGACAUAACUUACUGUUUAACCAUGACCGCACAAAUAAAAAAGGAUGGGUAGAGCAUCCAAAUAGGAAGACAGACAAUCUGCUUCUUUCUACUCAUCUUCUAAGUGUCAUGUCAUAUAAUGGCAUGUGAUAAAUGCAUGACCCACCACAUGAAUAAAUAGUCCUCAAAACACGGCACGUGGAAAUGAUUUAGCUAGUGACCACCAAGAUUAUAUUCUUCUGGCAAAAUGCGACAUGUUUAUAUUUUUCUGGCAAAACAACAUGAUAUUGAUGUGCCUUUGGCUUCUCUAUUGUUGGCUUCUCUAUUGUUGGCGUCUAGUGUAGAAUGAUUAAAAAAAUUAAAUCUAAAGAAUAAUUUUUUUCGAUGUCUUAACCUCAAUCUUCUUUUCUUACCAAUUAAUCAAGAAAAAUGCUAAGGACCUAUCUCAAAAGUAGAACUUUGGAAUUCUUUGUUGAUUCUUAUUUUUUAUAAAAUAUUUUAUUAUAUUCUUACAAGAAUUGAGAUGACAAAAAGUUCAUGAAGAGUCGUACUUUUGAAAUAAUCACUUGACAUUUCCUUUUAUACAAACAUGACUACAUGAGUUAAUUAAUAACUAAUUUAAUUUCAUGUUUUUCAUAACUAAUAAUUUUUAUGUACCCAUAUAUAUAUAUAAUGUAUUUGUUUACUAACUAGCCCAAAAAUAUGAUUGUCCCUUGAAAAAAAAAAAUAAUAUUUUAUUUGAUGUAUGAUGAAUGUAUUCGAACUCGUAAUCUUUUUCCAAAUCUCUUCUAACAUUUAUCAACUCACUUAAAACUCGAUCUCUACUAUAAUUGUCGAUACAAAUUUCCGCCGUUUUUAAUCUUGACGAAAAUGCACCUGCAAAACAAUCAACUUUUUUGAUCAAAGACCUAAGCCUCAUGCGCCCACGAGGUGGGGGGGGGGGUUUAGGUCAACGGAUCUCCGACGCCUAAGUUAGUUUAUCUGAGAGUAAAGUGUUUAAGGCUUUUUAGGGUUGCAAAAGCUCUCUAAGUUUGGUAGAAUAUGGGGUAUUUAUAGCGCUAGGGUAGGCCAUAUAGGGUUUAAUGGAGAAAUAUUCUCUAAAUAUUCCCAAGAUAUUUAAUAGGAUUACUUACUUGAUAGGAGUCAAUCUUCAAUUAGGAAUGUAUUAAAGAUAGGAUUUGGGUAAUUAAUCCUUAUCUUUAAUUCCUUACCAUGGGCAGUUGUGCUCAGUUGCUGAGUCCUUCAGGGAUGUGAGCUGCACGUGGGAGAAUAUGAGAAGUUUGCUCAUUUAUUGAGGACCAUUUUGUCCUUUUUGAAUUAAACAUUUAACACACUUAACUGGCCUUCUACCAUAGUGAUGAAAGAAGUGUUAGCUUUAUAUACUACUACAUGAGUUCGAAUUCCGUUGGCUCUCUUAUUUAAUAAAUCUAUCUUUCUUUUGAUAAAAAAAUAAAAUAAUAAAAAAAUAAAAAAUAAAAAUAAAAAAACUCAAAAUACAAAUGAGCUGUGCAUCAUAGUAUAUUAGAUAAUGUUGUAUAAUAUAAUUCAACAGACAACUGUUUUUUUUUUUUUUUUUUUUUUAUAAAAAAGCAAUAGAGAAUUAGGUAAAUACGAUGUAAAAACAUUUCUACUCAAGAGGCAGAUUGUCUGCCCCCUGUUUGGAUGCCCUUUUUAUUCCCUUAUAUUUUAUGCGGUCACAGUUAAUACACGUCAACAUUUUAUAUUAAUUUUUUUUUAUAAAGAUAAUAAGAUAAAAACAUAAAUAAAGAAUAUAUAAUAUUGACAUAGCUUACUGUUUAACCAUGACAGCACAUAUAAAAAAAGAUGGGUAGAGCAUCCAAAUAGGAAGACAGACAAUCUGCUUCUUUCUACUCAUCUUCUAAGUGUCAUGUCAUAUAAUGGCAUGUGAUAAAUGCAUGACCCACCACAUGAAUAAAUAGUCCUCAAAACACGGCACGUGGAAAUGAUUUAGCUAGUGACCACCAAGAUUAUAUUCUUCUGGCAAAAUGCGACAUGUUUAUAUUUUUCUGGCAAAACAACAUGAUAUUGAUGUGCCUUUGGCUUCUCUAUUGUUGGCUUCUCUAUUGUUGGCGUCUAGUGUAGAAUGAUUAAAAAAAGUAAAUCUAAAGAAUAAUUUUUUUCGACGUCUUAACCUCAAUCUUCUUUUCUUACCAAUUAAUCAAAAAAUGCUAAGGACCUAUCUCAAAAAGUAGAACUUUGGAAUUCUUUGUUGAUUCUUAUUUUUUAUAAAAUAUUUUAUUAUAUUCUUACAAGAAUUGAGAUGACAAAAAGUUCAUGAAGAGUCGUACUUUUGAAAUAAUCACUUGACAUUUCCUUUUAUACAAACAUGACUACAUGAGUUAAUUAAUAACUAAUUUAAUUUCAUGUUUUUCAUAACUAAUAAUUUUUAUGUACCCAUAUAUAUAAUGUAUUUUUUUACUAACUAGCCCAAAAAUAUGAUUGUCCCUUGAAAAAAAAAAUUAAUAUUUUAUUUGAUGUAUGAUGAAUGUAUUCGAACUCGUAAUCUUUUUCCAAAUCUCUUCUAACAUUUAUCAACUCACUUAAAACUCCAUCUCUACUAUAAUUGUCGAUACAAAUUUCCGCCGUCUUUAAUCUUGACGAAAAUGCACCUGCAAAACAAUCAACUUUUUUGAUCAAAGACCUAAGCCUCAUGCGCCCACGAGGUGGGGGGGGGGUUUAGGUCAACGGAUCUUCGACGCCUAAGUUAGUUUAUCUGAGAGUAAAGUGUUUAAGUCUUUUUAGGGUUGCAAAAGCUCUCUAAGAUUGGUAGAAUAUGGGGUAUUUAUAGCGCUAGGGUAGGCCAUAUAGGGUUUAAUGGAGAAAUAUUCUCUAAAUAUUCCCAAGAUAUUUAAUAGGAUUACUUACUUGAUAGGAGUCAAUCUUCAAUUAGGAAUGUAUUAAAGAUAGGAUUUGGGUAAUUAAUCUUUAUCUUUAAUUCCUUACCAUGGGCAGUUGUGCUCAGUUGCUGAGUCCUUCAAGCAGUGGCGAAGCCACGUGAGGGCGAGGAGUGGCGACCGCCACUCCCCUCGCCGGAAAACACAGCCCCAGCGUUGGUUUAGCUCCUCCCCUCCCGCUCGAAAACCCAGCCCCUCCGCAGCUCCGCUUCCUGUCUCUCUUCCUUCGAACUUGUUCUGCUACACAACAGCAGAAAAGAACCGUUCUGUUUUGUUUUAAUCGGAGCAGAAAUUCAAAUCACUGAGAUUUUAAAUUUUUGAGUGAUACAAAAAUUUAAUCGAGAUUUUCCCAAAAAAGUGACGGAAAAUCCUAAUUUUCUGUUUUGGUUGGCAUUUUAAAAGAUUUUCCGGGAAAGUGUGUAUUUAUAUGGCACUGUCAGAGUGCGUAAGUUGGACUGGGGUGUGACUGCUUUGGUAGGUAAGAGCAAUUCCACUCCUAAGGACUUUGCGCCAGCACCCAGCGCAUUUAUCCACUCAAAUGAACAGUAACAGACUCCAAUGAACAGUAAUAGGCCAAGGCAUCUCCACCCCUAAAAAAAUGCGCUGGCACCUAGUGAAAAAAUGCGCUGGCACAAACGAUCUUCAUCCUUACAAAAUGCGCUGGCACCCAGCCCAUUUAAGAUAUUUUUAAAUUUUGUCUAAAAGAAUAAAAAAAUAAAAUAGUUUUAAUUUCGGAUAGGAUUUUUAACCAAUCUCGUCACGCCACAUGUCAUUAUCUGAACGUACUAUUUUGUGAAUAGAUUUCCGCUAAGAUUUUCAACCAAUCUCGACACGUCACGUGUCACUUCCGUUUUACAAUAAUUUAGCCAAGAUUUCGAUAAGAUUUUCAACCAAUCACGUCAUGCCACUUGUCAUUAUCUGAACGUACUAUUUUGUGGAUAGAUUUCCGAUAAUAUUUUCGACCAAUCCCGACAUGCCACGUGUCACUUCCGGUUUACAAUAAUUUAGCCAAGAUUUCGAUAAGAUUUUCAACCAAUCACGUAGUGCCACGUGGCAUUGUCCAGAACCUCAUCCUUUCUUUUUUUGUCCAUAUAAACCCUACAUCCCUACAUCCAUCCUCACACCAAGCUCAAUCAUUCUUUUUAGCUCAGAAUCCUUGUUCAUCGUUUUCAAAUCUUAAGUUCUUAUUAUCGUUUUCAAAUCUUAAGUUCUUAUUACAAUGUCUUCUUCAAGAAGGGUGUAUAAACAGUUGCAGGAGCAACAACAAAGGUUGUUGGCACAACAGGCAGAAUUGGCCAAUCUCGAGGAAGGUGGAAGUGGAGGUGGAGAUGAGGCUUUCUUCAUGGAGGAGGAUGAGGAUGAUCACCAUAGAAGGCAGAAGGCCUCACAUUCCCGCCUUGUCAUGGAAGUCGUGGGUCAGAUAGCCAAACCAAGACGUGUUGCAAACCUCGAUAGAAAAAGGGAAAAACGAGGUAAAAAUCUAUUGGAAGAUUAUUUUAUUCCCAAUAGCAUAUUCCCUGAUCAUAUUUUUAGACGGCGUUUUAGAAUGCAACGAAAUUUGUUCAACAAAAUCAUGAGUGAUAUUUGCAACCAUGAUUCAUACUUUGUGCAAAAAGAGGAUGCUUUUCAUGUUCUAGGUCUUAUUCCCGAGCAAAAAAUUACGGCAUCCUUGCGAAUGCUUGCAUAUGGAGCAUCUGCAGAUCAAGUGGAUGAGAUCGCGAGGAUGGGAAAAACAACUGUUUUGGAGUCCCUGAUGCGUUUUUGCUCUGCAAUUGAAGCCCUCUACACCAAAGAGUACCUCCAGACACCCACGCCAAGGGACAUGCGAAGGCUUCUGAGGAAGGGUGAGAUGCGAGGCUUCCCUGGCAUGAUUGGAAGCAUGGACUGCAUGCAUUGGACUUGGAAAAACUGUCCAAGUGCGUGGCAAGGAGCAUAUGGCAACAGAAAAUGAGCCAAAAGCAUCAUUUUGGAAGCGGUGGCUUCAUUUGAUACAUGGAUUUGGCAUGCUUUUUUUGGUGUUCCAGGAGCUCAGAAUGACUUAAAUGUCCUUGCCCAAUCCCCAAUGUUCGACGAACUGCUGCAAGGAAACUCGCCGAGAUGCACAUAUACCAUUAAUGGUACCCAAUACGAGGGAUCAUACUACCUUGCAUAUGGCAUUUACCCAAGGUGGUCAACAUUUGUCAAAACAGUGCCACAUCCACAGACUGAAAAGGAAAAACACUUUGCAAAAUGUCAAGAAGGGUGUAGGAAGGAUGUCGAGCGUUGUUUUGGUAUCCUACAAGCUCGUUGGGCGAUUAUUAGGGCUGCAGCUAGAAUGUUUGAUGUCGAGGCUCUUCGAUCCAUCAUGAUGACGUGUAUUAUUCUCCACAACAUGAUUGUUGAAGAUGAGUAUGAUUAUGAUGGCGUCGAUGAAUAUGAGCCGGAUCCGAUGAACAACUCAAGAACACGUAUCUAUUGUGCUCAUGAUGGGACCGAAGAUCCAGUGCAACACGAGCCGUUGGAACGCGAUGGACGUUACAAUGAAUUGAUCGUUCAACGUUACACUAAUGUGCAAGAGCCAUACUGGCACGUAACCCGCCAGAAUGACUUGAUUGAGCACCAGUGGGGAUUGCAUGAAGGCGAAGAUAAUUAGAAUGAGGCUUGUGGUUGAAGAAUAAAUUGUAUUUUUUUUUUAAGUUUAUGUAAUUCUAUGUAGUGUGUUUUGUUUUUAAGUUUAUUUAGUGAGUUUAUGUAAUUCUAUGUAUUUGGUGAGUUUAUGUAAUUCUAUGUAGUGUGUUUUGUUUUUAAGUUUAUUUGGUGAGUUUAUGUAAUUCUAUUUAUUUGGUGAGUUUGUGUAAUUCUAUGUAGUGUGUUUUGUUUUUAAAUUUAUUUGGUGAGUUUAUGUAAUCUUAUUUCAUGUGUUUAAAUAAAGUACAAAAGAAAUAAAGUUUUAAAAAUAAAUAAAGAAUUACAUUAAAAUUGCAUAAUAAAUUAAAUAAAAAUAAAUAAAGUUUUUAAAAUAAAUAAGGAAUAACAUAAAAAUUACAUAAGAAAUUAAAUAAAGUUCAAACCUAAAAAAAGAAAAAAACAUAAGAAAUUACAUAAGAAAUUAAAUAAAGUUCAAAAGAAAAAAGAAAGAAAAAACAUAAAAAAAACAUAAAAAUUAUACAAAGUCUCUCGAGUUAGGAUAUGUGGUGCGAGGAUCUUGGUUGUCACAAAAGUUGCUAGAACCCCCUUGACUUGUUUCCGCAUCUCUUGCACGCCUCCUUCGCAUGGCAUCUCUUUUUUUCCGAAGUCCAAAAAAUAUUUAGAAUUCGGAGACAGUCCUACUAGAGACUUGCUCAUAGUGUCACGAUCUGCUUGAGCCAUCCUUUCUUCUCGAAGCAAUUCAUUUUCUCGAUAAAGUGCUUCUCUAACCAGCUCGUUCUCUCUCGAUUAACUACUUCUCUUUGUCUCUCAGCCGCCGCAUCACGGGCCUCAGUAGCUGCUAAUAUUGCUGCCAUAACAGCAACUUUUUCCUCAUCUCUAACCUUUUCUCGUGCCAUGUUCAGUUCACCUUGGCGAGUAAGUUCCUCCAUAUAUUUAGUGUAGUCAUUCUUGGAAGAACUACCUUUUUUCUUUGACGCCUUUUUACCUACGGGCCUGAGGGACUGACGAAUCGGUUGGGUCUCGGGCACUUGUUCAGGCAUCCCUUCUGUGUCUUGAAAUGUGUCGGCUUCUUGUUCGGCCAUGUCUGGUUCUGGAGAACUAUGUAGACCCAUACCGUGCAUGACAACUUCUGGACCAGUUGCCACAAUUUUGUAUUUAGGACAAUCUUUGACAAUUUGCCAACAUUCCCAUCUAGUGAAUGAUUUGUUCCCGUUCUUUGAAUUGUAGAAUGCUUGAGCUUGUAGUGUCUAUAAAAAUGUGGGAUAACAUAGUGUUAAAAAAUGCGGGUGUAACACAAAUAAAUAAAUUCAAAAUAUUAAUACGGGUGGAAUGCAUAUAAAUUACAUAAAAAUGACAUAAGAAAUUAAAUAAAAAUGACAUAAGAAAUUAAAUAAAAAUUACAUAAAAAUUAUAUAAGAAAUAAGAUAAAAAUUACAUACGAAAUUAAGUAAAUCAAAAUAUUAAUGUGAGUGGAAUGCAUAUAAAUUACAUAAAAAUGACAUAAGAAAUUAAAUAAAAAUGACAUAAGAAAUUAAAUAAAAAUUACAUAAAAAUUACAUAAGAAAUAAGAUAAAAAUUACAUACGAAAUUAAAUAAAUCAAAAUAUUAAUGUGAGUGGAAUGCAUAUAAAUAAAUAAAAAUAUUGUCACCUGAUCCGCUAAACUUGUCCCACUACGGAGGUUACCGGAAGCAUGAGAGAUGGCGUUUUUCCAACAAGUAAAUGAUGCGUUGAGUUUUUUCCAACGACCUUGAAGACCUUGACUAGUUCUGGCGUUUUCUCCAUGUACAUCACAAAACGCUUUCGUAAUUUUACUCCACAUUUCUCGCUUUAUCCAUCUCAUUACCUGUAAUCGGAUCAUGAGUAGUGUGAACCCAACAUUCACACAACGUAACAUCUUCAAUGAGCUUCCACGAAGACAUUUUUUUCUCUUAAAGUGUAGAAAAUAUUGAAAUGUAGAUAGUAUAGAAAGUGUAGAAAAUAUUGGAAUGUGGCGUAAAGGUAGAAGAUGAGGGUUAGGUAUUUUAUAGGAAAAAAAUUAACAUUUUUCAAAAAUUUUCUGUAAUUUUUUUAAAAUUUUCUGUAUUUUUUAAUAAUUUUUCUGUAUUUUUUAAUAAUUUUUAAUGAAUUUUAAUAUAGUUAAUUAAUCUGGACCGUUGGAUUUGAAAAAUAUUCAAAUCCAAGAGCUAGGGAGUUGCCACGUGGCCAACGGUCAUAUUUCUGACCGUUGGGCCCUUUUUUUAUUUAUUUAUUUACUUUUUGUGAAAAAAACGUGGACCGUUGAUCUUUGAUCCGACGGCCUAGUUUAAAAGUAAAAUUUAAAAUUUUUUUACCGUUGGAAAUCCAACGGUCUAGAAAACUAGCCGUUGGAAAUCCAACGGCAGAGAGAGAGCCACGUCGCAAACUCGGGGGGUGGAACUGACAGCACCUGCACGCGGGCCUGAGCUCUGAAAGCUUGUCGGGCACUCGCGCCACGGCUGCGUGAAGCGCACGCGCCAUGCUUCCUCCCCGGUUUCUGUCUCAGUCUCUUUUGGGCUGGGCUCUUGCCCAGCUCGGGCUGGGUACCAGUCAAUUUGUUGGGGUGGACUUGAUUGACUGAGGCCUGGCUUGGUUUUUGGACUGAAGGCUGGGACAUUUGGUCCCCGCUGGAAUUGCUCUAAGCGGAAGGGCUUUGGUGAUGGACGGUGGUGACGUGGAGCCGGUGGAUAGGACGGGUGACUGGGAAAUGCUGGUUUAGGUAGUGCGGAUCCUGCGUGGAAAGUUGUUAUUGGAUGGUGCGAGUCAUUAGGUUGUGUCCUCGUGUGCCACCAUCGAUUUGGAAAUUGGUAGACAUGUAGGGUGGUAAGAUACCACUCUUAUCCUUGACAUAAAUGCAUACGUGGAGUAAGCUUAAGGCAUGGUAGAGUAAUUAUCCACUAUAACGCAAAGCACCAAAUCAUCACUUUUUAUGUCUUUAUUCGAAUUUUUUCAAAAGAACCUAUCCUUUUUCCGGGGAUCCUGAAAAUUCCGUGAUCGUGAUCAUUCAUCGUAUAUCGUGCGAUCAGUUUUCGCUAGUUACUAUUUAUAUUUAAUUUUAAAUUUUAAAUUUUAAAUGAUUUUUGACUGCACAAUAUACGAUGAACGAUCACGAUCACAGAAUCCUCAGAAUUCCCGAAAAAAGGAUCCGACGAGAAUCAUUUUCCAUUUUUAAAUGACAAGUUUCACAUCAAUUUAUUUAUUCACCCAUUAGUUUAAAUGACAAAGUGAAUUUUUGCUUCGAACUGGCUCUCCCCCCCCCCCCCAAAAACUCAGCAGCCAACGAACGGAACGGAACGGAGCCAUCUCACAGGCUCACUCCAGCCGAGCUGCCGUUUACUCGCACACUCACUCUCAGUCUCACAUACUCACUUCAGAGAGGGGAUGAGGUCACUUGGUACGCAGACGGCGAUAAGAUUGUGAGGAAUGAGUAUAAUCCAGCUGCACCCUAUGCAUUUGGUAAUAUAUUAGUUAGUAUAUAUUGUUAUUUUGAAUUUGGAAAUUUUGAUGUGGAGUUAAUUUCGAUUUCGGUUAGUUUAUGGAAAAUGCAAAAGAAAAUGUGUUGGAAUUAAUCUGCAUUUAACGUAGUUACAGGGUUUUGAAAACUGAUUGGAUUUGGGGAUGGUUUUGUUGUGGCAGAUAGAGUUUUUGGACAGCAUGCCAAUUCGAUAGAGUUUCAGUAAAGCUCCGUUUGUGAGUUGUGCAGAAAAGGUUAUAAUGACCAAUGUUUACACUCUCUCUUUGAUUCCACACUAGGGGACUGGAUUUAAGCUUGCCUUCCAUGGCCCUGAAAAUAUUAAUAUCAAAUGAUUAGUGAGAAACUGCUUUUAUGGGGGGGCACCAUUGCGUGGAGAUCAAUGGUUGAGUGAUAGCAUGCUUAUUUACAUUGAGAAAGAUGUGUUUGUUUUUAUUGAUAAUGAGCCUAUUAUGCGACGUUUUCAUGACCUGAAACUUCGCCAGCAACAAUUGUAAUUUGUUUGUAUUGAUUAAUUAUGGAAGACAUUACUAUAUAAAAAGAUUUAGUUGUUGCCAUUUUUCUUUAACCUUGCAUUCUUUUAAGUUCGCUCCUCCCCCCGAGAAAUCCUGGCUUCGCCACUGCCUUCAAGGAUGUGAGCUGCACGUGGGAGAAUAUGAGAAGUUUGCUCAUUUAUUGAGGACCAUUUUGUCCUUUUUGAAUUAAACAUUUAACACACUUAACUGGCCUUCUACCAUAGUGAUGAAAGAAGUGUUACCUUUAUACUACUACAUGAGUUCGAAUUCCGUUGGCUCUCUUAUUUAAUAAAUCUAUCUUUUGAUAUAUAAAAAAAUAAAAAAUAAAAAUAAAAAAACUCAAAACACAAAUGAGCUGUGCAUCAUAGUAUUAGAUAAUGUUGUAUAAUUCAACAGACAACUGUUUUUUUUUUUUGUUAUGAAAAAGCAAUAGAGAAUUAGGUAAAUACGAUGUAAAACAAUUAUACUCAAGAGGCAGAUUGUCUGCCCCCUGUUUGGAUACCCUUUUUAUUCCCUUAUAUUUUAUGCGGUCACAGUUAAUACACGUCAACAUUUUAUAUUAAUUUUUUUAUAGAUAAUAAGAUAAAAAACAAUAAGAAUAUAUAAUAUUGACAUAGCUUACUGUUAACCAUGACCGCACAUAUAAAAAAAAGAUGGUUAGACCGUAGAGCAUCCAAAUAGGAAGACAGACAAUCUGCUUCUUUCUACUCAUCUUCUCAGUGUCAUGUCAUAUAAUGGCAUGUGAUAAAUGCAUGACCCACCACAUGAAUAAAUAGUCCUCAAAACACGGCACAUGGAAAUGAUUUAGCUAGUGACCACCAAGAUUAUAUUCUUCUGGCAAAAUGCGACAUGUUUAUAUUUUUCUGGCAAAACAACAUGAUACUGAUGUGCCUUUGGCUUCUCUAUUGUUGGCGUCUAGUGUGGAAAUGAAUUGUCACAUUCGUUUAUAGUUUCUAGAUAACUAGUAAUACCGUAUAUGCUUUUUUCUUUUGUUUUUUUUUUUUUGUUGGAAACUACCCUAUGUGCUUUUGGAGUAUUAUUAUUGGACAUUACACUUUGAGCAGCAAGAGUUUCUUGCAUUUUAGCUUUUUUUCAUGUGUCCAUUUUAUGUGCGGUAGUUGUUGAUUUUUGCGCUACGGGUUUGAAUCAUAUAAAUCUAUAAAUAAAGUUUAAAUUGCAAUGUUUGUAUGACAUUUAAAUUAGUCUGGACUUGUAGUUUAGAACUAAUGUUUCUAACAUGGUGUAUGAAACUUAAAUAUCCCAUAUAUUUUUUUCAUCCACUGUAUAAAAAAUGAAAAAUACAUGUGUUAAUCACUUAUACAAUACAUCCAAACGAGAAUAAGAAAAUUUCAGAAUUUGAAUAAAAAAUUAUGGGAGAGUCAAUAUGCACAUGAUUUUUGCUUUAGUACCGUGGGAUAAUAGCUUACCGUAAGCAAAAACACAAAAUAUAAAUUAUAAAUAUAAUAGAAGGAUAACUGGAAUCGCUCCAGGGGUCUCUCACCCGUACUUGACCUCUUACCAAAGAAUUUUGGCAUCUAUCCCAUCUCAGGGCUAGAAUUUUAAUCUCUGGAAGGCAAAGCUUUUCUAUUCAACUCUUCAUUGUUUGUUAAUCUGAAUUACAAGGGAUGUUUAUAAAGCCUAAAACCUAAUGACCGCAUGAAGGUAAACUUAUUAUAGUAAAGAAAUCCUAAUCCAAAAUAAAAUAGGACACUAUAUCUAAUCCUAAUUAAACUGGAAAGAAUUAUAGAGCUCGUUGGAAGUGAUUUUAAAAGCUGAAAAUGUUUUUGGUGAAAAUGAUUUUGGAACCAAUGCUUAGUAAAAAUGCAAAUAAAUUCCAAAAAAAAAACACUUAGUGUUUCCUUAAAAAAGCAUAUAACCGGUGGUUCCUAUAAUAAGCAUUUCAAGUGCUUUUGAAAUCCAAAAAUAUUUUAUCUAAAAACGUUUUUAAUCAUUUUAAAAGUACUUUGAAAUCAACCUUUAAUCCUUAUAAACUAAGUAAUCAUAAAACUACCCCCUAGAUAUUAAAAUACUAAGGACUAAAGACUAAAAAGGCUAAAAUACCCUUUAAUUUAGGAAGUCACCACUCUUGUUCCACGUGACUUAGCUAUUACUAAUUUACUAUCACCAGUAAUUGAUGAAAGAUAAUAUCAAAAUAGAGAGGCAUAAUAGAGUCAGCAAAUCUAGAACCUCUCUUUUUCAUGCAAAUUUUCCUCAUCGACGAAGAAAAAUGUGCUAUAUAUUUUUUAUUCAUGUGUUUCAAAAGUGGAUGGUCUCUUCAGUAAGGUGGUGAACUUAAAGAAAUUUGAGGUUGUAUUGUAAAAUUAAUUAGUAAAUAGAGAGUGGUUCAAUUCUUUAUAAGCUCUUGUAUGAUUUGAUUUCUCACCGAUGUGAGAUUUUGUCUUUACAUUCUUACACUAUUCUCGCACGUGGCAAAUUUUAAAACCUAACAUGCGGACAAUACAAAUUGGGUGACGUGGAACAUGUGUGGCCAUUAGACUUCACACGUGGGCUAAUAUGAAGAUUAGUCUAACUCUUCAUAAGCCCUUGCAUGAUUUGGUGAAUCACUGAUGUGAGACUUUGUUCUCACAUUCUCACACGCUUCAUCAUGUGUGACGAAUAUUCAAGCCUAACAUAUGAACAAUACAUAAAAUCUCAAUUUUCUACAAAGUAUCAGAGUUGGUUGAAUCAGAUGUUUAAUUAUUCUUUCGUAGUAUGAAGUCAAUUGAACUACAUGUUUGAUAUGUAAGGAUGUAAAUGUUGAUCCACAUCAAAAAGUUAAGAGACCGUUUACGAUUUUAAUUUGUCCUGAAAGAUGCAUUUCACCAUUUGAUGUAGCUCGUAUGGGAAGCCUAACUUUUUUCUUUCUCUCUUUUUUUUCUCGCAAUAUAGAUUGUUAACUUUUUCUUUUAAUUUGAGGGAUUCUCCUUGUCUUAAUGAUGUUGACAUCGGAGUGGUAUGGUUCAUGAAUCUUGACUAAGAAAACCCCUGCAUUCAUACACACAUUUUUAGUGUGCGGUCCCACCAAUUUCAACUAUAAAAACAUCACAAUCCCCUUUCCUUCUCAAUUGCAGAGUACAAGAAGCCCCAUUAAGGCAGCACACAUUGUUCUAAUUGUAAGUCAGAAAGGAACAAAGGAGGAGACUCAGCACAUUCACACUCCUGGCUCAAAGAGAGACAAAACGUGCUAGCCUAUGGACAAUAGAGUUAGCUUGACGGUGAGUAUGGUAAGAAUAGCAUCAAUGCUUGAUGGGAGUAGCACCUUGAUAUCUUUCAUAAUUUGUUCAACUGAGAAUAGAUUGAUAGACGAUACGAUGUGGGUUUGGCAAAGUGUGUGUCAAAAAAUGGAUGUCCCAAGAUGCUAAUGAUAUGACACACACUUUGUCGGGCUCAUUCCAUAACAUUUUCAAGAAUUUGAAUCAUCUAUAUUUCAAUUCAUCGUUCAUAUAUGUCCUUGCCAAAAAUUAAAAAGAUUCAAAAUCAUUAAAACAUUAAUUUGUAAGGAAGAAAAUACAGAUGGGCGUCACAAACCCUCCCCGCCCCCCGGUUGGUUCUUGUUCUGGCUCGAGAUGGGCUUCCUUGCCCCCUUGUAAUUAGGUUUUUUUUUUUAUUUUUCUGGAUGGCUUCGCGCCAUCCUUUUGUGCCUUUUGAGGCUUGAUUGUGAUUUCCUAUUUCUUCUGAGAGUUUAAAUGUAUUAAGUCCUUGAACGUAGGAUAUCAUGGUCUAUGUUUAGUUAUGUUUCUUGGAGUACUUGUUCUGUUUUAAUACAAUGACCUCUUUCUGAAUUAAAAAAAAAAAUUGACUUUGCCAAUUUUUCCCCAAUCAAACAUUUAACACACUUAACUGGCCUUCUACCAUAGUGAUGAAAGAAGUGUUACCUUUAUAUUACUACAUGAGUUCGAAUUCCGUUGGCUCUCUUAUUUAAUAAAUCUAUCUUUUGAUAUAUAAAAAAAUAAAAAAUAAAAAUAAAAAAACUCAAAACACAAAUGAGCUGUGCAUCAUAGUAUUAGAUAAUGUUGUAUAAUUCAACAGACAACUGUUUUUUUUUUUUUUUGUUAUGAAAAAGCAAUAGAGAAUUAGGUAAAUACGAUGUAAAACAUUUCUACUCAAGAGGCAGAUUGUCUGCCCCCUGUUUGGAUGCCCUUUUUAUUCCCUUAUAUUUUAUGCGGUCACAGUUAAUACACGUCAACAUUUUAUAUUAAUUUUUUUUAUAGAUAAUAAGAUAAAAAACAAUAAGAAUAUAUAAUAUUGACAUAGCUUACUGUUUAACCAUGACAGCACAUAUAAAAAAAGAUGGGUAGAGCAUCCAAAUAGGAAGACAGACAAUCUGCUUCUUUCUACUCAUCUUCUAAUUGUCAUGUCAUAUAAUGGCAUGUGAUAAAUGCAUGACCCACCACAUGAAUAAAUAGUCCUCAAAACACGGCACGUGGAAAUGAUUUAGCUAGUGACCACCAAGAUUAUAUUCUUCUGGCAAAAUGCGACAUGUUUAUAUUUUUCUGGCAAAACAACAUGAUAUUGAUGUGCCUUUGGCUUCUCUAUUGUUGGCUUCUCUAUUGUUGGCGUCUAGUGUAGAAUGAUUAAAAAAAAGUAAAUCUAAAGAAUAAUUUUUUUCGACGUCUUAACCUCAAUCUUCUUUUCUUACCAAUUAAUCAAGAAAAAUGCUAAGGACCUAUCUCAAAAGUAGAACUUUGGAAUUCUUUGUUGAUUCUUAUUUUUUAUAAAAUAUUUUAUUAUAUUCUUACAAGAAUUGAGAUGACAAAAAGUUCAUGAAGAGUUGUACUUUUGAAAUAAUCACUUGACAUUUCCUUUUAUACAAACAUGACUACAUGAGUUAAUUAAUAACUAAUUUAAUUUCAUGUUUUUCAUAACUAAUAAUUUUUAUGUACCCAUAUAUAUAAUGUAUUUGUUUACUAACUAGCCCAAAAAUAUGAUUGUCCCUUGAAAAAAAAGAAUUUAAUAUUUUAUUUGAUGUAUGAUGAAUGUAUUCGAACUCGUAAUCUUUUUCCAAAUCUCUUCUAACAUUUAUCAACUCACUUAAAACUCCAUCUCUACUAUAAUUGUCGAUACAAAUUUCCGCCGUCUUUAAUCUUGACGAAAAUGCACUUGCAAAACAAUCAACUUUUUUUAUCAAAGACCUAAGGCUCAUGCGCCCACGAGGUGGGGGGGGGGGUUUAGGUCAACGGAUCUUCGACGCCUAAGUUAGUUUAUCUGAGAGUAAAGUGUUUAAGGCUUUUUAGGGUUGCAAAAGCUCUCUAAGAUUGGUAGAAUAUGGGGUAUUUAUAGCGCUAGGGUAGGCCAUAUAUGGUUUAAUGGAGAAAUAUUCUCUAAAUAUUCCCAGGAUAUUUAAUAGGAUUACUUACUUGAUAGGAGUCAAUCUUCAAUUAGGAAUGUAUUAAAGAUAGGAUUUGGGUAAUUAAUCCUUAUCUUUAAUUCCUUACCAUGGGCAGUUGUGCUCAGUUGCUGAGUCAUUCAGGGAUGUGAGCUGCACGUGGGAGAAUAUGAGAAGUUUGCUCAUUUAUUGAGGACCAUUUUGUCCUUUUUGAAUUAAACAUUUAACACACUUAACUGGCCUUCUACCAUAGUGAUGAAAGAAGUGUUACCUUUAUACUACUACAUGAGUUCGAAUUCCGUUGGCUCUCUUAUUUAAUAAAUCUAUCUUUUGAUAUAUAAAAAAAUAAAAAAACUCAAAACACAAAUGAGCUGUGCAUCAUAGUAUUAGAUAAUGUUGUAUAAUUCAACAGACAACUGUUUUUUUUUUUUUUUUUUUUGUUAUGAAAAAGCAAUAGAGAAUUAGGUAAAUACGAUGUAAAACAUUUCUACUCAAGAGGCAGAUUGUCUGCCCCCUGUUUGGAUGCCCUUUUUAUUCCCUCAUAUUUUAUGCGGUCACAGUUAAUACACGUCAACAUUUUAUAUUAAUUUUUUUAUAGAUAAUAAGAUAAAAAACAAUAAGAAUAUAUAAUAUUGACAUAGCUUACUGUUUAACCAUGACCGCACAUAUAAAAAAAGAUGGGUAGAGCAUCCAAAUAGGAAGAUAGACAAUCUGCUUCUUUCUACUCAUCUUCUAAGUGUCAUGUCAUAUAAUGGCAUGUGAUAAAUGCAUGACCUGCCACAUGAAUAAAUAGUCCUCAAAACACGGCACGUGGAAAUGAUUUAGCUAGUGACCACCAAGAUUAUAUUCUUCUGGCAAAAUGCGACAUGUUUAUAUUUUUCUGGCAAAACAACAUAAUAUUGAUAUGCCUUUGGCUUCUCUAUUGUUGGCGUCUAGUGUGGAAAUGAAUUAUCACAUUCGUUUAUAGUUUCUAGAUAACUAGUAAUACCGUAUGUGCUUUUUUCUUCUUUUGUUUCAUUUUUUUUUUUUGGAUACUACCCUAUGUGCUUUUGGAGUAUUAUUAUUGGACAUUACUCUUUGAGCAGCAAGAGUUUCUUGCAUUUUAGCUUUUUUUCAUGUGUCCAUUUUAUGUGCGGUAGUUGUUAAUUUUUGCGCUACGGGUUUGAAUCAUAUAAAUCUAUAAAUAAAGUUUAAAUUGCAAUGUUUGUAUGACAUUUAAAUUAGUCUGGACUUGUAGUUUAGAAGUAAUGUUUCUAACAUGGUGUAUGAAACUUAAAUAUCCCAUAUAUAUUUUUCAUCCACUGUAUAAAAAAUGAAAAAUACAUGUGUUAAUCACUUAUACAAUACAUCCAAACGAGAAUAAGAAAAUUUCAGAAUUUGAAUAAAAAAUUAUGGGAGAGUCAAUAUGCACAUGAUUUUUGCUUGAGUACCGUGGGAUAAUAGCUUACCGUAAGCAAAAACACAAAAUAUAAAUUAUAAAUAUAAUAGAAGGAUAACUGGAAUCGCUCCAGGGGUCUCUCACCCGUACUUGACCUCUUACCAAAGAAUUUUGGCAUCUAUCCCAUCUCAGGGCUAGAAUUUUAAUCUCUGGAAGGCAAAGCUUUUCUAUUCAACUCUUCAUUGUUUGUUAAUCUGAAUUACAAGGGAUGCUUAUAAAGCCUAAAACCUAAUGACCGCGUGAAGGUAAACUUAUUAUAGUAAAGAAAUCCUAAUCCAAAAUAAAAUAGGACACUAUAUCUAAUCCUAAUUAAACUGGAAAGAAUUAUAGAGCUCGUUGGAAGUGAUUUUAAAAGCUGAAAGUUUUUUUGGUGAAAAUGAUUUUGGAACCAAUGCUUAGUAAAAAUGCAAGUAAAUUCUAAAAAAAAAACACUUAGUGUUUCCUUAAAAAAGCAUAUAACCGGUGGUUCCUAUAAUAAGCACUUCAAGUGCUUUUGAAAUCCAAAAAUAUUUUAUCUAAAAACGUUUUUAAUCAUUUUAAAAGUACUUUGAAAUCAACCUUUAAUCCUUAUAAACUAAGCAAUCAUAAAACUACCCCCUAGAUAUUAAAAUACUAAGGACUAGGGGUGAGUUUGGUACGGUUACCGUACCAAAACCUUUGUACCAAUUACCGUACCAAACUUUCGGUUUGGUAAAAUCUAUUACCAUUACCGUACCAAACUUUCGGUAUACCAAAGUUUGGUAUUGCCAAAAGUUCGGUUGGCAUGGUAUGGCAAUGGUAAUUGCCAUUUUGUUUUGGGACAAAAUCUGUUUUUGUUUUUUUUAACCCAAUUCAAGGGCAAAACUUUUUUUUUUGGUACCUUUAUCUCAUACAUUAUGGAUUAAAUUCAUCUAUUAUUCAUUAUUCACAAUUCACACACAUAAUAAUUCAAAUGAUGCAUCAAGAUUCAUCAUGAAAAUUAAGCUUACAAUCCAAAUAGAAGUCAACAAUCCAAAUAGAAAUUAAAGUUUCAAACCAAAUGAAAAUUGGAAGUAAACUUCAAAAAGGAGAAUUCAUUGAUUAGUUAUUCAAGCUUGAGAUGUCGAAGCUUUUGGAGGAGGCAUUGAAUUUGUAGAAGAUUGAGUUUGUGUCAAGCCUACAUUACAAACAAAGAAAACAUAUUAAUUAGUAGCAAGAAGAAUUAAAGUUGAAAACCAUUUAAUAACAAAUUUACUAAAAAAAUUAAAGCAUAUCUUUCUUGUUUUCUCUUCUUCCAUUUCCUUGUAAAAUUGAAGCAUAUCUUAUGUUGGUUCCUUGUGGAAGUUUACUUCAUCUGCCCUAAGCCAACCAUUAGUACGCACUAGUGCCUCCAUUAUUUUAGGAGUCAAGGAUACCCUAAAAGGGUCCACAACCCUCAUCCCUAGGCUAAAUGCAUUUUCACUAGCAACAUUAGAAGUGGGGGUUACAAAGAUAUUUUGGCUAUUUGUGAAAGAAUUAGGAACUCUUUUGUGUUUGAUUUCCACAAUUUUAAGAGACCAAUCAUCAAAGUCACCAACAACAAUGCUAAUGUGAGUAGAGUUUUAUUUUCAAAUUAUUGGAAUAUUAUAAAAUUGUGUUAUAUAAUUAUCUAUUAUAUAAUUUAUAAAUUAUAAAUUAUAUUGUAUUUUCGGUAUGGUACGGUAAUACUAUGGUAAUGAUAUCCAUUACCAAUACCAUACCAUGAAAUUUCGGUACGGUACAAUACCGUACCAUUACCGAUUGGUACAAAAAAUUUGGCACAAAAUCGGUAUGGCACGGUUGGCAAUUCGGUUGACACGGUAAUUUGGCAAAAAAAUCCACCCCUACUAAGGACUAAAGACUAAAAAGGCUAAAAUACCCUUUAAUUUAGGAAGUCACCACUCUUGUUCCACGUGACUUAGCUAUUACUAAUUUACUAUCACCAGUAAUUGAUGAAAGAUAAUAUCAAAAUAGAGAGGCAUAAUAGAGUCAGCAAAUCUAGAACCUCUCUUUUUCAUGCAAAUUUUCCUCAUCGACGAAGAAAAAUGUGCUAUAUAUUUUUUAUUCAUGUGUUUCAAAAGUGGAUGGUCUCUUCAGUAAGGUGGUGAACUUAAAGAAAUUUGAGGUUGUAUUGUAAAAUUAAUUAGUAAAUAGAGAGUGGUUCAAUUCUUUAUAAGCUCUUGUAUGAUUUGAUUUCUCACCGAUGUGAGACUUUGUCUUUACAUUCUUACACUAUUCUCGCACGUGGCAAAUUUUAAAACCUAACAUGUGGACAAUACAAAUUGGGUGACGUGAAACAUGGUUGGCCAUUGGACUUCACACGUGGGCUAAUAUGAAGAUUAGUCUAACUCUUCAUAAGCCCUUGCAUGAUUUGGUUAAUCACUGAUGUGGGACUUUGUUCUCACAUUCUCACACGCUCCAUCAUGUGUGGCGAAUAUUCAAGCCUAACAUAUGAACAAUACAUAAAAUCUCAAUUUUCUACAAAGUAUCAGAGUUGGUUGAAUCAGAUGUUUAAUUAUUCUUUCGUAGUAUGAAGUCAAUUGAACUACGUGUUUGAUAUGUAAGGAUGUAAAUGUUGAUCCACAUCAAAAAGUUAAGAGACCGUUUACGAUUUUAAUUUGUCCUGAAAGAUGCAUUUCACCAUUUGAUGUAGCUCGUAUGGGAAGCCUAACUUUUUUCUUUCUUUUUUUUUUUCUCGCAAUAUAGAUUGUUAACUUUUUCUUUUAAUUUGAGGGAUUCUCCUUGUCUUAAUGAUGUUGACAUCGGAGUGGUAUGGUUCUUGAAUCUUGACUAAGAAAACCCCUGCAUUCAUACACACAUUUUUAGUGUGCGGUCCCGCCAAUUUCAACUAUAAAAACAUCACAAUCCCCUUUCCUUCUUAAUUGCAGAGUGGAAAGGAAAACCAAUUCAGCCAUGUCUUCAUCUCCCUUACCAACUUCUACAAUGGUCGCCCUGCACUCCACCACAACCACCUUCUUCCGCUCUCAUUUAUUCCCAAACAAGUCCCAGACUCCACUGCAACGAAAACCCAAACAAUGCCUUGCGGGUAGAGUGCGCUGCAAAGCAACAAAAGGUGACAAUGAUAACCUAGAUCAGGGCCUAGCAAGACUCGACAGGAGAAACAUGCUGAUAGGUUUAGGCGCCGGGGGUCUCUACGGUAAGGUAGGAAACCCAUUUGCUUUUGCCGCACCAAUAUCCGCCCCAGACUUGACCACGUGUGUCCCUGCCAGCAAGCCAGACGGGUCCACCAUCGAUUGUUGCCCACCUACCACCACGACCAUCAUCGACUUUGAACUCCCUGACUCAGGCCCACUCCGCACUAGGCCCGCUGCCCAGGACGUUGCAAAUGACCCUGAAUACUUGGCCAAAUACAAAAAUGCCGUCGAGAUGAUGCGGGCACUUCCAGACGACGACCCGCGCAGUCACGCACAACAGGCGAUGGUACACUGCUCAUACUGCGACGGUGGAUACCCACAAGUUGGAUAUUCAGAUUUGGAGAUCCAAGUUCACUUCUGUUGGCUAUUCUUCCCGUUCCAUCGUUGGUACCUCUACUUCUAUGAGAAAAUCAUGGGCGAGCUCAUUGGGGACCAAACCUUCGCCCUCCCCUUCUGGAACUGGGACGCGCCAGCUGGCAUGUACAUUCCUGAAAUUUUCACUGAUACGACGUCAUCCCUCUACGACCAGUACAGAAAUACAGCGCAUCAGCCCCCGAAGCUCCUGGACUUGAAUUAUGGCAG